rnacentral:lncRNA from 1 species
CAGUGUGAAAUGAGGUUUAGACAAUGGGAUAUUGGGGUCUCAAUGACCCGAUGAUAUUUGGAAAGCAUGCUAUACCUUUGGAACCACGACUAGAGUUUUAUACCUUGUGCUUUGAUUAUUCAUCAUCAUUACAUGUUUGAUCUUAUCAAUGUAAAUUCCUUAUAAGUUAUGAGAUAAGGGUGUCGCACAACCUUGACUCAAGUCAUUACAUGUUUGAUCUUAUCAAUGUAAAGGAUUCUCCACAAUCAGCGCUACUAUUGCACUCGGUGUCAGUCUUUUUCGAGGGCCCAAGGCGAGAGUAAAACAUAGGUCCUUAAUAUGUCCUUAAUAUAACAUCAAAAUAAUAAUUACCAGCUGGAUGCAAACUUUUAGAUAACACAACGAUACCAAAAAAAUAAAGGAAAAAUAAUUAUUUUCAAUAAAAAAUAGCACAAAACUAUAAGAUCAACUCAAUAAAAUCUUACCGAGUAUCAUGGCGGUUGGCUGGAGCCUAGCUGGCGAUGAGGCGACACAAUCGGUCGUUUCUGCGCGAAUGCGCCUCGGAGACUCGGCUCUCGGCCAUCUCUCCGGUCUUCAUGUAAACCGGCGUCUGGCAGCUGGCCCUGUGUGCCGUCUGCCUGGGUUUCAGGCUCUCGGCAUAUAUUUAUAAGUAUCGGUCCUCUGUCCUCGUGCACUCGUCAUAUUCGAUGGAUCUGGCUGAUUUUAUUUUACAAACAUCUGGCUUUAUUGAUCAAUAAACAGAGUACAAACUAUCGAGAAAACUGAAAUAAAAAUGUAUAACAAAGAUCCCUAAUGAAACUACAAGUUACAUCAAGAUUCUUCAAAAUAAAAACCUCUAGAUCUAUCAUCCUUAUCUUGAAAUCUCUCCAUGUGUCUCUCGUGAUGAAAUCGCAGAAGACCAGACCUGCACAAGCUGAACUAACCUUGUUGGUUUUGAAUAGCCGCAUGAGUCGCUCACCGCAACCGAUGAGAACUUAUGAUCGUUGAACGCACUUUGGCCGGAACACAUACCUUGCAAGUCAGGUUGUCGAAACGCAGAUUCGUCGCCAAUCCGACGAGGAAGAAGACCAAAAUAACAAAAAUACAAACCGCGAGAUCCACUAGCUCCAUGGAGUAGAUCGUGUUGACUACAACAUGGCGAGGAUGAAGCCGGAAGACCAUUAUUCGAUACGGCCGCCGCCUCCAUCGUCCGGAUGCCAUCGCUAGGACACAAAACCUUAGAAAAAAAAUACGCAAACUAUCGCCAGACGUUGAUCUAUGGUUCCUCUCGUCGCCCCGAUGCCUAAUCGGCGGUUGGAAACGAGGGGAACCGACAGAAAAUCAACCCUUCGGCCGUUCGGCGGCUCCUGUCUCCGGCGGCUAGGGUACCAGAGCUCCUCCACGACAUCGCUAUUUGGCUGAUUGGUGAUCAUGUGAUCGAAAAUUAUCGAUUGGAAGUUGGAAAAGAAUUCUGCUGUCUGCCGAUGCCCAUUGGCCCAGUUGGCCCGGUUCCCGUGACUCUGCCGAUGCCAAUUGCCCGGUUGGCCCGGUUCCCGUGACUCUUGGAUCGAUCGACAAGUCCCGUAUCACCAUCUUCCAUGCACCAGCUCGCAGGAAUGGUCGUGGGCCGGCCGACGAAGCCCAAUAACAGGACCUGUCUGGCUGGCUAACCACCACCGCAUGCCAAAGCGCCUCGAUCUCCCACAUGAACUCCGGCCAGCCGGUCUCCUAUAACUGUAACAGUAACACACUAACACCCGCGAUGACUAGCCGAUCUAGGCUCCGCUGCCUACGUACUGGCUUGUCCCGGAUUCCCUCUGUUAAUUUGCAGCUAGCGAAGUCUAGAAAUGGAUCGUAUACAUCUGAUUGCUCGAUUGGCAAAACCGGAUGCUUUAAGUCUCUUUCCCAGAAAUUUUUCACGUCGGAUGCAUCGAUGGCAUCAACUUUCUCACAUAAAUGAUUUCUGAACUCGCAGUCGUAUAUACUUGGUCCCUCAGCUAUGCAUUGUGGCAGCUGACGUGGAAAAUUGUUAGAAAAAACCGUGAUACGUGGAGUCAGAACCAGUCAAAACCGUCCAAAUUCGAAAAAGAGACUAAAAAAAUAACCAGGUUUGCCAAUUGAGAGACAAAAUGCAUGCGAUUUUGAGUUGAGUGACCAUUUCUAAACUUUGCUGCAAAUUGAGGACCAAAAUAUACUCUUAAUUAAAUUAACUUAAUUUCUUUUAGUGCUAGCUGAUUCUUCCCACUUUAACCAAGGAGCACGUACUGACGUACACCAAUGAUCGUGGACGACCGAUCUCAAUGUGCAGGCUAAUUAAUUCGAGCAAAUUAGUCAGGCAAGUUGGUUGCGCCUGCAGCUAGCUAGGUCUCGAUUGAUCAUAGGCCACACAUCUCGGCUCCAAUUAUAUGAAGCGUAAGCGGAUCGAUUCAGUUGUGCAGAAGCUAAUAAGCUACAAGUACUAAAUAAAGCAAGCAUGGGCUUGCAUGCACGCGCGUAAAGAGGCAUGCAAUAGAUAGCGAGGUCCCCUGACGUGACGCAGACACACAGCAACGCAAUGCAGCAGAGACUAGGCCACAGUUAGGCCCCAACGAGACAUGCAAGAACAAACAAUUUUUAGUUUGAUUCUCUCCUUUUCCCUUGAGCUCGAUGCAGCAAUGAUCCAGCGGAGUCCAACUCUCUCGCGCUCCAGGAUAUAUCCAGUGCGCCCACACCUAGCCUAGCUUCCUUUACGCUAGCUACAUGCACGAAUCCUGCAGUGUCAAUUCUUGGGCUCUCAAGGCAGGCAGGCAUCGAUUUGGAUCCAUUUACUCUCUCUACUCACAACGUUCUGUUGCUUCUGAUUACUAGCUACUACGACUCCAGCUCCUAGCUAGAGGCCUCAUGCCUCAUCGAUCGAUCUGUAUAGGCGAGGGAUCGCGACAUCGCGCACCCGCCUUAGCAGUGUACGUAACCUGGAGUCCUGGACCAGCUCCCUUUUCUUGAUCUGACAAUAUAGCUAGCAAAGCAUAUAUAGCUAUACAAAGGCUACUAUUGAUUCAGCUGGAUCGAUCGAGGGCCGGCCGGGCAUCAAUAAUUGCAGUACUGAAGCAGUGUAGGGGGUUCAAUUUUGUACCGGCGACGGGAGCCGGAUUUGGCAUCAUCAGCGCGCAAUAAUGCGCGGCUGCACAAGGCACCUAACAGGCCCUCUCUAAUUGUAGCAUUGCCAUAGGUUGCCUGCUUUGGUCAAAGGCUUCCAAGCUAGGCAAUGUGAGCGAGAUAGAGAGGGCCGGGGACGAGAGAGAGAAGCUUACGCAAUGGACCUGAUGUCACGCAUGUAGGAAUGAAAGAGGAUCAUUAUUCGACGCUUUGUUGUCGCUCGAUCAUCUCACGAUCAGUCCAAUGGCGGUGUGGCCAGACGCACGUCCAGUUCUUUUCUGUGUAAAAAAAAUGAGGCCUUGGUUGAUUUACACUUUCUUGCUGUAUGAUCUACGUACACACGGGACGCACGACCUUUCAGGUCUAAAGCAGACCACACAAACUGAAACGAAAAAAAAAGGAAAAGCAUUGUUCAUACAUAUACAUACAUACAUAUUCAGACGGGACGUCGCAUUCUCUGAUCUACCGAAAUUAGGCCGGGCACGCGCAACCGAUUCCCCGCCAUUGCUCGACCGGCAGCGCGGCGAUGGAGGCCGCUCCUCUCGGCAUCGCGGGCCCCGACCGCGACGGAGCAUCAUGGGCUGCUAGCUCGUCCCACGACGCGCCGUGUUAACUACCUACUGGUGCUUUCUGAUCAGCUCUCAUCGAUCUCUCAAUCUUAAUUAAACAUGGUUGUAGAGGUCUCGGCAUGCACAACAAGGGCGCUGUCUGUCGCGGCAGGGCUGGCCGGCUAACGAAUGUUUCCUCUCGUCUCAGCGUCAGUAUGGCCAGAGUGUCGGGGAAAGAGAAAGAUGUAUGUCUGUGUCUCCCGUAUCGCGCCGCGGUGCUCCUCUAGAGCGAGCUGCAUGUUCUUCUUCGUGGUCGAUGGCGAUGGAGGCAUGGCCUGAUGCUGAGUGAUGGCGAGCUCGCUGGGCAAGGUAAUCAUGCAUGUGGUACUCUGUCACACUUUUAUGGACGAAUCUGCGGCCAAAAUUGCACCGGAAAAUUGUCUGCAAUCCACUGCGCUGUAAGAAAAAAGGGUUGUCAGGGACACUUCAAAACCAUGUUCCAAACGCUUUUUGAGCCGUCAAACUGUUCGUCUCAGAAAUAACUGCGGCUAAAGACAGAACAUUUAUAGUAAGUCUAAAGACACAACAUAUUAUGCGUUAUUUUGUCAUCGACUCUAGACGACGUGAAGAGCCAACGCAGACUUUACUAUCACGGAUGGACAUCUCAAACCGUUCUUUUUUUUUAGGGGAAGCUUUAGGUCAUAAGACCUAUAGCAAUUUUAUUAAUAAAUAAUGUGAAUAUUUACAAAUAAUUACAAGCAGUGUCUAUCUGAAGUUUUCAAUCCAUGAUUGCAUAGCAUGGUACUUCUUUCUUUUGGCUCUAUGGAAGACCAGGUUGAGCUCAUCUUUGAAGGUGCGUCUGCAUCUGUAGAGUGAUAGGUUGAUUCCAUUGAAUAUAUAGUCAUUGCGUGUUUUUCAGAUACUCCAGUUAACUGCAGUAAUGAUCUCCAUGUGAAAUGGGACUUGAAGUGCCUGCUUGAUGACCAUGAUGUUGUCAUGGACAGAUGGUUGGGAUAAGAAUGUCGGGCAAAUAUAUCUCCAGCAUGUCAAUGCAAAGGGGCAGGAGAAGAAAGGGUGAUCUCUGGAUUCCAGUUGGUAUUGGUUGCAGAGGAUGCAAUUGUAAUCCUAUAAGUGGAAGUUCUUUUUCUGAAACAUGGCCCGAGUGUUGAGUCUAUCAAUCAAAAGGAGCCACAUGAAGACUUUAUGUUUGAGUUGGCAACAGGAUGAUCAAUUCCACUUGAGUGACAUGGGAAUUUCAAUGUGGGCAAUGAAGGAUUGGUAGAUCUUCGCAGUAGAGUAGCCAGGAUCGUUCCAUGGGUAUAACCAUGUAUCUCGUUCAUCUGUUCUGUUCAUGCUUGUGAUAAGCUGAGUAAAUUCCUGGAACUGUUGAUGAGCUUCAAUAGACAGUGGUAGGUGGAGAAGAUUAGUGAGCUCUUGUUGAUUAGCAAUGUCCCAGUUGGUGGAGAACUGAUUGAUGACAAAUGAGUGAAGUUGUGGCCAAGUGUGGGCAAGUGGAUUAUCAUUCCAUCUGUCCAGCCAAAAGAGAACCGUAUUCCCAGUCUGAGCCUUGCAAUGUGCAAUGUCCUUGAAUUCAGAUAAUUGCUUCAAUGUGUCUUUCCACCAGAAUGAUGCCUCACGUGUAGUAUGUAUGGGCAGAUCAUGUGAAUAGUAUUGCUCCCAUACUAGGUUAACCCAUGGAAGAUUAACUUUGUUGUAAAAUUUAUGCAUAUUCUUCAUGAUCAGAGCUUUCUUUUGCAGUUCCAGGUUGAUGACACCAAGUCCCCCUUCUUCUUUCGGCCUACAAACCAUUUCCCAUGCCGCAAGAGGUGGAUUUUUCUUUGUAAGGUCUUGACCACGCCAGAGGCAGUGUCUUCUAUAUUUGUCAAUUUGUGUUAUCACACCUUUAGGCAGGAUGAAUGUGCUCAUCUGGAAUGUGGGUAGGGCAGAUAGGACAUAGUUGACUAGUUGCAAUUUUCCUCCAUACGAGAGCAUACUGGCGAAGCAAGAAAGUCUGUUUUCGAUUCUUUUGAUCAUAGGCAUGAAUUUCUCAAUUUUUGGUUUCGUUGUUCCAAGUGGAAGGCCAAGAUAGGUGAAUGAGAGAGUGCCCAUUUGACAGGCAAGAGUAUCAGCAAAGUAUUGUCCCCUUUCAGCAGUCAUGUUAAGAGGGAUCAGGUUUGAUUUGUGAAAGUUAACUUUGAGCCCAGUGGAAGCAUGAAACUGAUGAAGGAUGUAUUGGAGAAUUUGGAGUUGAUUUUCAUCAGCCUUCAUGAUAAUCAGAGUGUCAUCAGCAUAUUGGAUGAUAGGGAAAUCUGGGCAAGCAGUUGAAUCGAUUGGUCUUUCAAGUUGUCCCUAGUGCAUGGCCACAUUAAGAGCAGUCUGGAGGAGAUCAGCAACGAUGACAAAUAUUAGAGGGGAAAGUGGGUCACCCUGUCUAACUCCUCUCUUGCAGUGAAUCAUUUUACCAGGUACACCAUUAAGGAGAAUCUGUGAGGUAGCAGAGUGUAGGAUGCUAUUGAUCCAUUGGCACCAUUUUGCACCGAAUCCCAUAGCCUGCAUAAUCUGAAUAAUGGCCUUGUAUUCAACUUUAUCAAAUGCCUUCUCAAAAUCAAGCUUGAGAAGAAUUGUCUCUUUUUUGGACUUAUGGCAUCCAUGAAUGUAUUCAAAUGCCCAAGCCAGGCAGUCUUGAAUAGUUCUGGUUCUGAUGAAUCCAUAUUGAUUAUGGUGAAUCAAUUGCAUGAUUAUAUUUUGAAGCCGGUUAGCAAGGAGUUUGGUGAUGAGCUUGAGUGUGCAGUUGAGGAGUGAGAUGGGCCUGAAGUCAUUGACCUUGUCAACGGCAUCAAUCUUCGGGAUGAGUGCAAUGUGGCAGGUGUUGAUGCAGGAUAAUGAGAGGUUGCCGUCAUGGAAUUGUUGACAGAGGUCAUAGAAAUCAUCUUUGAUGAUAGGCCAGCAUUUUUUGAUGAAAUCAGUGUUGAAUCCAUCAGGUCCAGUGGAUUUAUUGGCUGGAAGGUUUUUGGCCACCAUGUCAAUUUACUCAUGAGUAAAUGGCUCCUCCAGGGAGGAGAGGUCAAAGUUCUAUUGGAAGAGAUCUUGUAAUGGAAAAGUGAGGUUCUGCCCCUUAGUGGUUCCAAGUCUCUCUCUAAAUGCUUGCCAGAACAUAUUGUAACAUCCCAAUUUUUCAAAACUUUUAAUAAUGCAUUGCAUUCCAUGAGCAUCUUGUCACCUUUGCAUUUCACCACAUUUAAAACCAUGAACUUAAACUCUGAAAAAUCCAAUAACAAAGUUUUCUUCUCUUUUGAAUCUUACCUGUUACAUUUCUUUUUCCAAUUUGAUUUUGACCCAUGAGGGUGAUGUUAAUAAAGGUGGUUUAACGCAUAAUUAUGCUACCCCAUAUUUUGGCAUUUGUUUUUGGAUUUGAAACACUACAAAUUUUAUUAGUUAUAAACCCCUAAAGGCAAUUUUAUAGCCAAAAGUAUUUUUAUAUAUUUAUUUUGAGAGAAUUCUUGUCCCAAAAGUUGAAUCAUAUGAAGAUAUGAUUUUACAAAUUUUGUUGCAUUUUAUUUGACUCAAUUUGGAGCUUUGAAUUAAAAGUUUAGUUCAAAACCAGAAAAAGAAAAAGGAAAAAAAAAAGAGAACUGGACCGACCCUUGCUGGGCCAGCCCACUUACCGAGCAGCGGGCGCAGCCCAUCUCCACGCACGCAGAGCCACCGUCGCUGACAGGCGGGUCCCACCUGUCAGAUUCGUCCCCCACCUUCAACGGCCACGCCGUUUUUCCAGGCGCGCACCGAGUCCGCCACACCCACCACUCCACCCUGCGUCCUCCUCACCCACGACCCCCAUCCCCGCAACUAACCGAGUCAGUAUAAAGCCCCUCAGCCCUGCAGUCUUUCCCCUUCUCGCUUGACCGUUUCCAUGCCGCCAGGCUGCCCAAAUCGCUCACCGGAGAAGCUCUCUACCACCGCCAUUGUUUUGGUCGCCGCCAUCAAGACAGUGAGCUUUAGCCGUCGAGCCUCUGUGGUUCUUCUUUUUUUUUCCCUUUCGCAUCUUUUGACGUGAUCCUUUUCUUGUUUGGAGCCUCGCGUCGCCAGAUUGUCGGAGACCCAAAGCUGCCGCCGCAUGUUUCGUCCGUCGCCCGCGAACCAAAAGGUUCGAAGCGCCAUCACCUACCCCUUUUCCUCUCUCUUUCCUGUGCGCAUCUUCUGACACGUUUUUCUCUUCGUCUCGUGCGCCGUAGCUCACCGUCGCCACCGAGCCGAAGCUCACCGCCGCCGCCGCCUUUCCCGAGGAGCUACCGCCCACUUCCUUCCGUCCCGAGGAGAACCGAGGCCACUAGAAGAUUCCUCUCGUCGAGCUUCAUCUUCUCCACGUUUUCCCCGAGCCCAGGAGUCACCGGAGAGCCUCGUCGCCGUUUUCCGAAGCCACCGCCGCCACCGAGCUCACCGGAGUAACCCUAGUCGCUGGAGGUAAGGGAGAUUCCAUCUUAGCCGCCCGAUCUGCAUCGUAGGGCUUAGAAUAGAUCACUUAAACGGAGGGGUACGGACGAUCUGAGCUGUUCGUUUUAAGUAGUUCCGACGGCCAUCUUUUAAUCCAUCCCCGAACCGGUACCAACCAACCAGAAGCUGCCACGUGUCACUCUUUUUAUGAAAAGUUUAUUCCCCGGCCGAAUAAAAAGGAAAACUUGCAGAAACACCCUUGGUUAUUCAAAUGAUCAUAACUUUUAAACCGUUUGGCCAAAAUAGAUGUUCUGCACCUUUCUGGAAUCCUCAUGGCAUGUAGAAUCUUUUGGCACUGUUCAAUUUUGAAUUUGAAUAACUUUAGUAGAACCAAAUUACAGAAUGGUUAACUAUGGUUUAUAAUUCAUAUGAAAUGUUUUAAAACUAUUUUGAACCGGUUAUCAUUUCGAAAAAUGUCUAAAGUGUAUUCCCUGUCCAGUAGGAUUAGAGGGAGAAUUAUUUUUGUAAAAUAAUCUUGCAGUACCAAACUAUUUUGUUCCAUGCCUUCUAAAAACCCAUUAAGCUAUUAUUAAAUCUUAUUUUGUUUCUUGCACAAUGAGUACCUUCUUUAAUAUUCUUUUAUAAUCUGUCAAAUCCUUUGAAAAGUUCUUUAAAACAGAAAGUAAAGUUGUUAAUACUAAAACCAAGCUAGGUAUGCAUCAUGGUAACUCUUGCAUCAUGGCAUAUUCUUUGUAUAAAAUUGUGUGUUUAUGUGUAUUUGUGCUUGUUUGUUUUAGAUUGUUUGGAGUGUGAACCUUAUUGUUGUGUCGGAGCACGGUCUCCGGCACCGGGGAUGCCAGGCACCCCCUUUUUGGUUCGGUGGAGGGCGAGGUGAUCACUCCCACGAUCGCCGGCGUGGCGAUAGACAAAAAGUGUAGACACAAGAGUUUUACCCAGGUUCGGGCCACCCGGAGGUGUAAUACCCUACGUCCUGCUUUGAGUUGUAUUCACACUGGGGAGUUCCCGGGUUGGCUACUUAGGUGAACGUUGUGCUAUGUUCUACUCACUCGGGUUUGAACUGAGCUGAACCCUUUGAUCGGUGGCAAUGAGCCUCCUUUUAUGGACAAGGGGAUACCACAGGUGCCAAAGCAUGCAGUGUGACACGUUGCCUAAACGCGUGUCACGGCCACACGGAAUACACUUUUGCUCAUCCACGCUGGACGCCAUGCAGCGCCCGGUCCACUGUACACGCUAGAAAAAAUGGUUCUCAGGGUAGCCGCUCUAGCCUUGCUAAGCAAGACUAGGCCUUCUAAUAAGACUCAUGUCGGUGCAUUAAAUGCACUGCGCCUGCCGUCAUGUCCUGUCUUCACUGUUCUGCGGGUCCCGCCUGCAUGCCUGAGCGCGGGUUGCCGGGGUGCACCUUCUCGGCUAGCGCACCGGCUAGUUGCCGGGAGGCGUUCCUUCGGUUUCUCGGGACCGGGGUUCUUGGGAUCAUCUUGUACUCGUCCCUUAGCUUUAGCUUCACUAGGGGUCGGCUCCUCGAGGCAGGCUUCCCGGGCACGUCGCUUCCCGGGAGUCCUUCCUGAUGGGGCUUCGUCGCUGGCGACCCACACGUCCCGUAUCAGUGGGACCCCGUGGGCCACUAGUACGAUAGUAACCCCCGGGCGUGGGCCGGCAGCCUUGAAGCAUCCAGCAAGUGCUAUCCUCGGUCGGUUGUCAGGUUACGCCCUAUCCGACGCGUGGGUACCCCCUUGGCAUCCGGCCUCGUGGGCCGCAUUUAUAGUUCCACUUCUCCGAUUGAAACGGUCGGGCGCACGAUUUCGUGCCUUAUCCCCCUUAAUCACCAAAGAGUUAAGGCCACGUCGCGCACCCUCCUCUUAAUCUCCGAUUCUUUAGGGCUCUUUAUUGCCGAUCGUGGGGGUGUCCGUUGUAGUCCGCCAGCCCCGAUAAAUACUCAAGGCCGGCAGCGGGCAUUCCCCAUUGUCUCUCGCUCCUGCCAUUGCCUCCUCCCAAGCUCCCCGCGCCCAACUCCGACCAAAUCUCCUCUCCACCUUCGCCGAUGUCUUCCAAGGGCCAGAACCGUCCCAAGGGGAGCACCAGCAAAGGGGAAAAGCGCGAAAAGGCCGGCAAGAAGGAGUUGUCGGACAGAGCCCGGAAGGAUGAUGAAAUGCGAGCCAAGUUCACUUUCUUCUCCCCCGGGUACAACGGCGAGAGAGUCGACAAGCUGGUCCUGGCGCUGGCCACCAAGCACAACGAGCACGGGCCAAUGUGGGUCCACCCCGUCGAUGCGGAGCGCGACAGGCACUACUUCCAGAUCUUCGGGAGGUUCAUCCUUGUUGGGUUCGUGCCGCCGCACUCCUACUUCCUCUCAGCCAUCAUGGAGACCUACGGGCUCAUCAUGUUGCAGCUUCACCCCACGUCAUUCUUCACAUUGGCUGUUUUCCAACACCUCUGUGAAGCGUUCGUGGUGGUGAUGCCAUCGGUGGCGCUAUUCCGCCACUACUACUACCUGAGGGUGGAGAAGAAGGCUCCCCUAUCCUCGGGGGUAGUGUUCCGAUUCCAUGACAGGAUCACAUGGGAAUUCAUCGAGCUGGGGAAGAAGAAGAUCGAGCAUGAGUGGCACCGCGACUGGUGCUGGGUGCGCACGGAAGAGCUCCAGGAGUUCCACGAGGAGCUCCUCGGGCCUCUGAAGGGCUCUGACGACUGGCCGAUCUGCGAGCAGAAGGACGAGGAGCUGGCCCCAAUCUGUGCGAAGAUCAAGGCACUCCGUGAGGCCGGGCUCGCGGACACGGAUGUGGCAGGCCACUUCAUCGGGAGGCGCGUGGCCCCCCUGCAGCGAUGCUCGCAUCCGGCGUGGAUAUACACCGGGGCCGGCGACCGGACCCGGCUGCAGCGCACGGACCUCCUCCCGGAGGAAGUGCAGUUCUGGGUGAAGGGUAUCACCAGUGAGGACAAACCUUAUCGGCUGCUCCCGCCUAGAGCGCACUCGCUCCACGCCGGGAUCCCGAACCCGGGAGCCCGGGAUCUCCCACUCUGCGACGAGUGGGGGGUCGUGGAGGUCCCCUCGGCGGAACCCUCACCCCCGCAGCCCAGGUCCCAGAAAGGCAAAGAGCCGGCUGACGACUCGGGGAAAGGGGGCCAAGGCCAGGCCUCUGCUAAGGCAGAGGGCUCGGACUCUGACGACUCCUCGCUGGGCGUCGAAGGAGACCUCAGCGAUGACGACGGCGACGACGACGUUCCCCCGGCAACCGGUGAAGUCGUGCCAGAGGAGGACGACGAGGAAGAUGACGUCCCCCUGGUGAGGCGGUCCGCAGCGGAGCGGGCAGGCAGGCGGGAGGCCAGCCCGCAGCUCCAGGAGCCUCACGGCGACAUGGGGGCUGGGGCCUCCGGCGGUCGCGACGAGGCUGCAGCAGUCGCCCCGACCACCCCAGCAACUCCGAUAGCGGUGGCGACGGUGGGGCCCGCGCCUACAAAGCUGUGGGUCAUCGACCUUAUUGGUGAGGUCGACGACGAUGCUCCAACGGAGGUUGCCUCCGUCGGAGCCCUUCAACAAGCGGUCACAGCGCUUGCUGGGGCCCUGACUGCUGCCACAGGUGACGCCACAUAGGGGGCGCCAUCUGAGGCGAGCAACACAGAGCAGCCUCCGCCAGCCGGGGCGGGCGGUGGUGCCCUGGAGAAUCCCCGAGCCCCCAGGUCGCCCCUUCGGACGAGCAGGGAGCAGCGGGGCUCAGCCAUGUCGGGGGCGUGCCCUCGGGGUCGCAGACGGUCGUGCCGGGUUCCUCCUGCUCCGCCGGAGCCGCCUUCAGCCUGGGAGCAGGGGAGCUCGCCGGGCGGACUUGGGGUCGGAUCACCUUCGUUGAUUUUUUCAAUGACGCAUAGCAGCACCAUGCCCGCGUAAUGAUGGAAUUGGGCACAGUGCGACGGGAGGCGGAGGAGCAGCGCACCAAGAUGCAGCGGGUCCGGGAGGAGCUCCAGCAGGCGCGGCAAGCCAGGGCAACGCCUGCUGUGCAAGGGGUGCCAGAGGCGCAGGUCCUCCAGCAGCUGUGGGAUCUCCAGCAAGAGCACCAGCGGGAGCUGGAGCUGGUGAAGGCCACACAUGCCAAGAGCGAGGAGGAGCACCAGGCGGCUCUGGACUCGUUCCAAGGGCAUCUCCGGGAGAAGACGGACUUACUGUCCGGCUACUCCAUGGAGAUCUAGCGCCUCCGCCGCGAGGUCGGAGAGCUGGAGGCGGCGGCCGCAACAGCAACUGAAGCCUCCGCACGCCGGGAGAAGGAGCUGCAGGACCAGGCCCGGUCCCGGGAGAGCGAGCUGGCGGGGGGCAGCUCAAGGCCGCCCAAGAUGCCAGUUCGUCCAUUCAGGGUGAGCUCGACAUGGUGCGGCAGGAACUCCGGCUGAUCAACGACGACAACACCAAGAAGGCAUCGGAGAUCGGUAGGCUGAAGCCCGAGUGCCGCGAGCACAAGCUGUAGGCCCAGGAGGCUCGCGGUGCGCGCACAGAGCCGUGGGCCCGCAGGACAGGGGAGGUGGCCAGCCACAAGAAGCUGGCCGACUCGGCGGUGGAGGCGCUACAGGGGUUCGACAUCCCCAUGGCUUCCUUCGAUGGGGCAGACAUGGGGAGCUUCAUUUCAUUCUUCGCGGACUUCGUCGGCCGGCUCAGCGGCCUACAGAGCUGUGUCACGGCCUUCGGAGACCGGCAAGUCGGCCUUGCGGUCGAGUGGGUCGCCGGGCAGAUUCUCACCCUGGUCCACUCCGCCCACCCCGACUUCCCGUUCAAGUCAGUCUUCGAUGCCUGGUCGAACGAGGAAGAGGCCAAGACCCACCGGGAGGCGACGCAAGGCGUCGUGGACGAGAUGGUGGCACGAAUGCAGGGCAAGGUCGACGAAGAUGAAGCCGCUGCUGAAGAGGUUGCCGGAGAAGCCCCCGAUGCCGAGGAUGCCCCUGACAUCGACGCAGCCGCCCCGGGAGCACCUCCCGCGUAGUUCCCUUCCUUCACUUCCUUUUUAUAUCCCUGCAAGUGGCGCGUGGCGCCUUAGAACUUUUUAUGUUAGCUUUCCCUUGUCAUUAUCAGUGUUACUCGUCAACUUGUCUUGUCCAAGCUUUAAUAUAUAUCCAAUGCUACUUUUACUUGCUUCUUUGCCUAAGACUAGCUUGCCGGGGAGGGGCUCUGUCUUUCUCGUGUUUUAGCCUUGCGUAGCCGGGGACUCGCCAACCUCAUGCUUGGCCAGACUAGGGACCCGGGACGGACUCGCGGUGCCGACCUAGGACCAAACAGUAGUGGCUAGUCACUCCGCCUGCGGGUUAACUACCCCAGCGCGCACGCCUCCGAGACGGACCCAUGAGCCACGUGCGGGGGGCAUCCUCACCCCGCAAGCGUCCUUCCUACGCUCCGGCUACACGGGGACCGAGCUUACCUCAGCAAGCCAGCAUUGCUAAACGGGAAAAACCAAAGACCCAAAAUGAGAUACUUAGCUUCCCGUUCUCUUUGGACUUGCCCAUUGCUCCUCAGAUGAGCAACAGAGGCAAAGUGAAUCUUAGUGCCCAUGUCCUCGCAGUAAACUCGGAACACCGCACUAGUGAAUUGCGUGCCAUUGUCGGUGAUGAUGCCGUUAGGCACACCAAACCGGCACACAAUGCCCUUGAAGAACUUGAUGCUGCCUGCGCCGUGACGGCUCAGACAGGCUCCACCUCGACCCACUUCGAGAACUUGUCGAUGGCCACAAGUAGGUACUCGUAGCCGCCAACUACUCUCGGUAGUUUGCCGACGAUGUCCAGCCCCCAGACCGCGAACGGCCACGAGGACGGGAUGACUUGCAGGGCUUGCGCUGGUUGGUUGCUCUUCUUGACGUGAAACUGGCAUGCUUCACAGGUCUUGACUAAUUGUUCGGCAUCGGCUAGUGCUGUCGGCUAGUAGAAGCCGUGCCGGAACGCUUUCCCAGCUAGUGCCCUGGAGGCCACAUGGUGUGAGCAUGUGCCUCGAUGUAUAUCUUCUAGCAACGCACGCCCUUCCUCCUGGGGCACGCAGAGGAGCAUGACUCCGUUAGGACGCCUCCGGUAGAGUUCUCCGUCCACCAGGGCGUACAUUUUAGCUUGCCGGGCUACUCGCUCCGCGGCAACGUCUUCUUUCGGGAGAGUCCCAUCCUUGAGGUAGCGAAUAAGAUCCGUCCCCCAGGGUGGUGGCUCCCGGCUAGUAUAUGCCACUAAUUUGGCGACAUAGUCCCCUGCAGCUGCAGAGUCACCUUGAGUAGCUGGAGGGGCUUCCCCGGCAACUGCCUUGGGGUCGACAGAGGGCUUUGACUUCCUCUGCACGAACACCCCAGGAGGCACCUUGCUGCGUUCCGCUGCCCACUUGGACAGUUCAUCCGCAACAAAGUUGUCCUUGCAUUUUACGUGCUCAAAUCGAAGUCCUUUGAACUUGGACUCCAAUUUUCGCACUUCCUCCACGUACGCUGCCAUCUGGGGGCAGUCAAAGUCCUUGUUUACCUGGUUGAUCACGAGUUGGGAGUCUCCGCGAACAACCAAGCGCUUGAUGUCGAUGGCGAUCGCCACGUGUAGCCCGGCAAGUAGACCCUCUUACUCUAUCGUGUUGUUGGUGGAGUUGGCGAAGUCGAGUUGUAUCACGAACUUGAGCUGGUCUCCGGUGGGCGACUCGAUCACCACUCCGGCACCGGCGUCCUGCAAGCAGAAGGCGCCGUCGAAGUACAUUACCCAGUACCCUUCGUCCAAUCUGCCGGGAAGGCUUGCUUCUGGUCUUCUUCCUCUAUGCCUGUAAGAGACCAAGAAGCCCAGCAAGUGUCCCGAGUCCACGCCGAACGUGCACUUCUCGGGCUUAAGCUUCAGCUUGGUCCUGCGGAGGUUGUGAAAUGUCUCCUGCAGGUCGCCGACGAGCGAGUCCCUAUGCCGCGACUUGACGACAAUAUCGUCCAUGUAGGCCUCGAUGUUCCGGCCUAGCUGGGGUCCCAAACACUCGCGCAGGGCGCGCUGAAAUGUUGAGCCCGCGUUCUUCAACCCGAAAGGUAUGCACGUGUAACAGUAGCAGCCAACCGGGGUGAUGAACGCUGUUUUCUCCUCAUCUUCGACUGGCAUCUUGAUCUGAUGGUAGCCGGAGAACGCGUCUAGGAAGCACAAAGACUCGCAACCCGCUGUAGAAUUUACUAUUUGAUCGAUACUUCCUACUGAAUGAAGUCCUUGCGUUCUUGUGCUUGCCGGCGAACCUUCUGCUUGACAAGCCGCGCAUCCGGCCGCACCGCCAGCCGAUGCUCAAUCACCUCCCUAGGGAUUCCGGGAAGAUCUGACGGCUCCCAAGCGAACAGGUCGGAGUUCUCCCGGAGGAAGGCGACGAGGGCGCUUUCCUAUCUGUCGCCAAGGCUCGCAUCGAUGGAGACGGUGCGUGCCUCGUUGCUGGCAAGCAGGGGCACCUUCUUGACCUUGGUGCCCUCCUCCUUCAGCUUCGUGCCAUUGCUUACGCGCGGGCUGGAGCUGGAGCUGCCCCCGACAUCCUGCCCGAGAGCGGCUCGCGCCUUCCUCCGUGCGGGUUGUUCACCCGCAAGUGGAUCCUCGUUCCCGGCAACGUCGUAGUCGCCGAGAUCUGGCACUGCGGAGGUCUUCACGACCUCGCCCACACACCAAGCAGCAUCCUUCAGGUCGCACUUGAUGGAGAGAACGCCGUAUAUUAACGGCAUCUUCAUCACGUUGUAGGCGCAAUGCGUUGCCGCCAUGAACUUGAUUAGCCCUGGCCGACCAAUGAUCCUGUUGUACGGCAACGGGGUGUGAGCCACAUCGAAAAUGAUGUGCUCAGUUCGGAACGCUUCCCGGGAACCGAAGGUCACCGGGAGCAUGAUUCGCCCCAUGGGCUGCACCACUCCGGGGUUGAUCCCACGGAACGGGUCGGUGGGCUUCAUCUGCUCCAGGGGGAGCUGAAGCUUUUCCACCAGCUUGCCGGACAGCAAGUUGAGGCUUGCCCCGCUUUCCACCAGUACCUUGGUCACCGUCAUGUUGUUUAUGAUCGGCGACACCACGAGGGGGAGCACCCCUGAACCCAAGGGACGGAUCGGGUGAUCGUCCGAGUUGAAGGUGAUCGGCACAUGCGACCAACUCAAUGGUUGCUGCGCCUCCAUGCUGGGGAGGAGGGCGCAGACCUCACGCGUGAGCCACUUCACGGAGGCGUGAACCGUGAGAGCAUACGCUCCCCCGUGGAUGCCGGCGACGUCGCGAGGCUCCUGGAAGCCGGGCUCAUUGGCCUCGGCGUCGCUGUAGACAUCCCCGUGUUGCUCAGAGCGAGGCUUGUCGCGUCCCCGAGGAGACCGGUCCUUGCCGCCGCGGGCCUGACCGCGACCCCCCGCAGGUUCUUCUUUGUUGCCGCCAGCUGCGCCCCGGCCUGCUCCGCCACUGGUGUUGUUCGAGCAGUCCCGGGAGAGGUGUCCGAUGUCGUCGCAGUUGAAGCAAGCCCCGGCAGUGCGGCGCUCCUCGUGGCGCUAGUCGCACUUCUCCUUGAUGCUCUGGAGAGUGCGGCGGUCCUGUGCGUCGUGGGUGGCGUUGUUGUGGAUGGGGCAGCGCGCGGCCGCUGCCGGCUUGCUGCCCGAUGCUCCUGCCGACGCUGCCUUCUUGGCAGGCCUCUGGGGAGCCCCCGGCUCCACGGCAAGCACUUGCUUCCCGCCGUGUUUCCGGGAGCUCUUCCUCCCAGAGCCCUCUGGCGGGUUUGCUGUUGCUUUGGUGGCAAGCUCGGGCGCCAAGCGUCAUUCCUCGGCCAUCGCGCACUUGUGCGCGAGAGCGUAGAGAUCCCUUGUGGUCCGGAUCCCUUGUGGUCCGGAUCCUUGUCGUUGUAGGAGAGGUUAGAAAACCUCUUUGGUGAAGUCCCGCAACGUCUCCACCGGUUUCUGCACGACCGUGUGCAGUUCCGCCAUGGUUCCCGGGCGCUUGAAGCCGCCCUGGAACGCGUUCACGAACUACUCGCGCAACUCAGCCCAGGAUGCUAUGGACCCGGCGGGCUGGUUGAGCAAUCAAGUCCUCGCUGAUCCUUUGAGGAUCAUCGAGAACAAGUUGGCCCUGACCUUGUCGUCGGCGCCAAUGGCGUGCAUGCCCAACGUGUAGGUCAGGAGAAAAUCCUUGGGGUUCACAGUCCCGUCGUACGUCCCGAGCAUCGGCGCUCGGAACUUGCGGGGCUAUGUCACCCGGUGCAGCUCGCGAGUAAACACGGCACAGCCAUCCUCAGCACCCAUGGGAGCAUCCUCCUGCUCCUCUAGGCGCGGGCGUUUUGCCUCACGCCGGCGCCGGCGCUCCAAGCGCUGGCGGAGGUCUUCUUGCUGGCGGACGUUCAGCACGCCUCGCGCGUCACCCUGUGUAAUGGUCGGUGACGAAUCUGAGGAUCCCACGGGAUCCUCGCCUCCUUGCCCUCCCAGUGGGGGAGGGUGUUCUCCGUGCCCCGAGACACGGGGCGCGUCUCCGCGUCCUGGGUUCUGCCUCCGGCAUGAACCAGCCGGGGCGCCCUCGCCUUGCGGCUGCUGGGCGGCGAGUGCAAGGAGCGCGUCUAGCUCCACACUCCAUGCGUCGUGCGCCAACGUGCCUUGCGGUGGCUCAUAGCGCACCAUGACACGCGCGGCUAUGAUGGCUUCCGUUGGGGUCUGGGCGGGAGGCUGCCGAUUCUCCGACCGGCUACGCUCCGCCGUAUCACCCGGUGCCCUCGGGUGAGUGGGGCGAGACUCACUAGGCGUCGCACGUGACGCGCUGUGCUCAUGGCGCAGCUGCCGCCGCGUGUCUUCGGCCCGCGAGUGGACUCGCUUCCUGGCAUGUGCGGCAUUGUGGCCACUCGCGCGGCUAGCUUUGGCGCUGGGAGCCGCAGGCCCCCUCGGCCGAUUGUCUACUAACGGCCGAGGAGGUGGAGGUGGGAGCUGCGACUGCUGCUGCUACCUUGGAGGGGACCCCUGAUCCCCUUGUGCUUGUGACACGCGCAGCGUCAUGGGACCGAGUGCAAAUGGCGAGAGUGUCGCGCAAGUCGACCCGGGGCUCGUUUGCCUUCUUGGGCGGCAUGGCGAGCUAGUCGUUGAAUAUGUCGCGGACCAAGAAGCUGGUGUUGGCGACGAUGACGGCGACGAUCAACCGAAGCUUUCUGCACGCCCCGCCCCCUACCUGGCGUGCCAGAUGUCGGAGCAGGGUCUCCGGCACCGGGGAUGCCGGGCACCCCCUUUUUGGUUCGGUGGAGGGCAAGGUGAUCGCUCCAGCGAUCGCCGGCGUGGCGAUAGACACGAAGUGUAGACAUAAGAGUUUUACCCAGGUUCGGGCCACCCGGAGGUGUAAUACCCUACGUCCUGCUUUGAGUUGUAUUCACAAGUUUGAGUGCAUACAGAUCACCCGGUGAGUUCCCGGGUUGGCUACUUAGGUGUACGUUGUGCUAUGUUCUACUCACUCGGGUUCGAAUUGAGCUGAACCCUUUGACCGGUGGCAAUAGCCCUCCUUUUAUAGACAAGGGGAUACCACAGGUGCCAAUGCAUGCAGCGUGACACGUUGCCUAGACGUGUGUCACAGCCACACGGAAUACACUUUUGCUCAUCCACGCUGGAGGCCAUGCAGCGCCCGGUCCACUGUACACGCUAGAAAAAAUGGUUCUCAGGGUAGCCGCUCUAGCCUUGCUAAGCAAGACUAGGCCUUCUAAUAAGACUCCUGUCGGUGCAUUAAAUGCACUGCGCCCGCCGUCAUGUCCUGUCUUCACUGUUCUGCGGGUCUCGCCUGCAUGCCCGAGCGCGGGUUGCCGGGGUGCACCUUCCCGGCUAGCGCACCGGCUAGUUACCGGAAGGCGUUCCUUCGGCUUCCCAGGAUCGGGGUUCCCGGGAGCAUCUUGUACUCGCCCCUUAGCUUUAGCUUCACUAAGGGUCGUCUCCUCGAGGCAGGCUUCCCGGGCACGUCGCUUCCCGGGAGUCCUUCCUGAUGGGCUUCGUCGCUGGCGACCCACGCGUCCCGUAUUAGUGGGACCCCGUGGGCCAUUGGUUCGACAUGUUGCGAGCCUACAUUCCAACAUGCUACCACUGUGGUGUUGAUGUGGCUAUUGUAUCUUCGUUUUCCGCUAUAGUACUUUUCGUUUAUUUCCAGCUAACCCAUGGGGUUAUGCGAGUUUGUGAGCACUCUUAAAUUCUGGAUACUACGUUGUAAUAUUUGAGACCUUUGUUCUAUGAUAUUACAUCUUGAAACUGUGUGUGCUAGUGAGUCGAUCCAGGGACUAGCACUUAAGCACAGAGAUCGAACCCUUUAUGGGCGCGGUCGCUUCACAUAUUGGUUUUGAUAUCAUGAUCAUAUACAAGAGACCCAUCAUCUCUCUUCAGACAAGCAGUUUUGUUCUUCCUGUGUUGGAUUGUUACUAGUGAGUGGAAAAAUUUUGAGUUCUCAUCUCCAAGUUGUACCCAUUUUAUUUUCUCUCUUUUUUCCAGUAUGUGCUCUGUUCAUUAAGGCAUUCUUGCAGUUUCAGUUUGAUCAGUGAUCUGAGUUCAUUUUCCUCCUGUGUGAUUCCUCUGUUAUCUUCAAUACGAUCAAGAAGAAGUACAAGAUCAUUGAGAUCAUCAAUGGUGGAGUCAAAGACAUUUUUGAUGCUCAGCCAUUUUUUUUGUAGCCCCACGAAGUUUCUUAAGCUUGAAUGUGAUCCUUUUGUCAGUUUGAGUGAUAUUUGUCUCCUCCUGCCAUAUCUCUUGGACCAUUGGGAUGAAGCCAGGUUUGCUCAUCCAAUGAUUUUCAAAUCUAAAGACUUGAGUUCUAGGAAUUUUGGUGCCAAUGCAGAUGGUAUAUGGGAUAUGAUCAGAUGUAAGUUUUGCCAGUGGUUGAGCUUCAGUAUUGGGAAAAUUGAUCGUCCAGCUAAGUGAAGUGAAGCACCAAUCAAGUUUCUCUAGUAGUGGUGAAUCCUGCAUAUUGCUCCAGGUAUAUUUCCUCCCUUUUAAGGGUAGUUCAAUCCAGUCCAGUUGACUGAUCACCUCAUUGAAUUUCAUCAUGUCAUUAAUGUUACCACCUGGCCUAUUUCUAUCCUCUGGGUAUCUGAGAUAGUUAAAAUCUCCAAUAACCAUCCAGUUAUGUUCCUCUGGCAUAUCAAUUUGAUUCAGACAUUCAAGAAAUUCACUUCUCAGGUUAUCUUGGCAGGGACCAUAGAUAUUGGUAACGAGCCAUUUUUUGUGGGAGUUAAGACAUGUGAAUUCCAUAGUGAGCGAAAAAUCAUUACUGAAGUUGAGUUGACCAUCAAAAAGUGAUCCAUUCCAGAUGGUGAGAAGCCCACCAGAUCUUCCAUGUGAUGGGAGAAACAAGAACUUGUUAAAUCGUCUGGGCAGAAAUUCUGGAUAAAUGAUGAAUCUACAUCCUCUCGUUUGGUUUCUUGUAGACAGAUAAUGGAGCAUCCACUUUCUUCAUUUUUCUUGCGAACUUGUACCCAUUUAUCUUUACCAUUAAUGCCCCUAAUGUUCCAGGAUAAGAUCUUCCAUUCCUCGUAAUUCAUAAGGAAACUAUGGGUUUGUUUUUGGCAUGUGGUGCAAGCAAAGCAUUAGUUACAUCACAAGCCAUAGCAUAUGCAAGGUUCAUGCAUAUCGUAAAGUCAUGUCCACAGUGUUCAGCAGAUAUAAGGUGGGGGGAUAAUAUCAUGGAAUAAAACUUAUUACAUUGGGGGCAAAGCACAAAAUAGUGAAUCUUGCUUCUUAUGGCAGUAGGGCCGGUUCUCUUCAUCCUACUUCUUCCUUUGCUUCUUGGAUGGUGUAGCAUCAUUGUUCUUCUUUGUGUCUUUCAUUUUGGGCUUGGCUGCAGGAGCUUCAUCUGCAAUUAAACCAAAUCUCUCACUAAGGCUUCUGACAAUCUUUUUGUUGAUCUCUGGAGCUUUAGCUGCACAUGCAAGGCAGUGCUUGUUGAUGCAGAUGUUAUGCUUGAAUGCACCAUUUUUGGCCUUGAGUCUGUCACUCCUUCUGACUUCUGUCACAACAAUUGGUGGUUUCCUGGCUCUCUUGGCCCUGAUGGCAGAAGUGGACAUAGGAAGUUCAUCAAGUGAGAUAACACAUCUGGAUACUUGAGGGGUGGAAAAUCCUUGGCUAGCUUCAGAUGCUUUGGCAGUGAGCUUGCAAUUAGGUGCAACCUUAGCUGGGCAUGUUUCAGGAAGUGUGAAUUGCCUGGAAACAUUUGAGGUGGAAGGAAAUAUGCUCCACAUAUUGGAAAGAAGGACUUUCCUGGCCCAAGCAAAGUUGUCAGGAAAGAUGAGCAUAGCAGUAAAGAAGUCAAUCCAAGGACAUGGGAUAGUCACAACAUGUGUACCAUCAUUCUUAGGUCUGAAAUGUUGCUGCCAAAUAUCAGUCCCUUCAUUAGUAAUGUGAAGCUUUUCCAUCAUGGGCUGAUGGAUAUCACAUUCCAUGAGAGCAGGGAAAUCAAGAGGCUGCUGUGUAAAUUCAGGAAUAAGUGCUCUCCCAUGAUCAGAUCAUUCUGAGCGGCAAGUAGCUGACCAUCAGCAUUGGGCACAAAGUAUGGCACCAGUGGGAGUUCCAGGUUAUGAUUAAUCUGAUUCACAGAGCCAUCAGAUGCUUGAUCAGGUGCAUUACUGCUAAGGGUAAGAGUGAUAGCAGUGUCCCCAUCCUGAUCUUGUUGCUGCCCUUGGUCCACCUGCAUGUUGCCAUUGUUCUGAACUGCAUCGAACAUAUCCAUCAGGUUCUGUGCCAGGGGAGGGUCUUCAGGCAAGUUCUGCUGCAUAUCUCCACGAUGGUUUUGCUGCAUGUCAUCAGGCUGCACUAGCCAUGGUUGCCAACCAACAACAUCCUCAUUGAGAUCAGGAAUAUUGUGAUGGCCAUGAUCUUCAUGAAAUGGCAGUGUAGGUAGACGAUGUGGUGUGUCACCAUCAUCAGGUGGGUCUUGCUCUUCAGGUGCUUCCAGACCCAUCAUGCACUGACUAAGAAUAUAUAUGGGAACAGUCCAGGACUCAGCGUUGAAAUCAUUGCCAUGUGUGAACUGUAAGCUAAAAGGAAUAUCUGCCAGUGCUUCAACUCUAACUUUGACAAUGGCUCUAGUAAGAUUGCUGACAGUUUUAUCCCAACUAAGAAGUUUUCCCCAUUUGGAAAUGGAAGCAUUAAAGUGAGCAGUAUCCCAAAGGUCUAGUGGCAGAUUGAGGAGCAUAAGACAUACCUCCUGAUUGUAUGCAAAUGACCGCCAGUUUAUACCCCUAUUAUGCUCAGUGAAAAUGAAAUUAACUCCAUUAUGCUGACGAGGUCCAUGGAGUACAAGCCAAUCUCUGUCACUAGUGGAAACCAGGCGGAUGAUGGCAUGACCUAGCAAGGAACGCUGCAUGUGGUCAAUUCUAAUGCCCAGGUGACUGUCAAGAAGAGCAACAAUCAUGUCCAUAGUGACAUGGAAAGGAGCAUCUGGAUUUGGAGGGGGUACCAGAUUGACGAUGGCGACAUCUUCAUUUUUGGCGGGAAGGUGACCGAUGACGUGGUACCUGCAUUGCUGUGGCCGACCAGAAACGUCGAUGAUGUCGAAGCGUCCGGGAAGCAGGGGAGCUGGGUCGACGGCGUAGUUGGCCAGAGCGUUGGCCUCGCCGGCGAUGGUGUCUGCAGCUACAGUAGCAGUCUGGGGCGUUGGAAUCGCGGGUGUGGAGGGGAAGGAGAAGGGGCGUCUCCCUUUUUGAACAAAAAUAAUCCAAACUGAGUAAAUGAGGUGAAUAUCGGUGGUGUCUUCAGAGGUUGUGGCUGAUGCACCGUUGAUUUGAACCACGUGGCAGUUUGUCCCUGUAACAUCCCAAAUUUUACAAACCUUUCAUAAUGCAUUGCAUUCCAUGAGCAUCAUGUCACCUUGCAUUUCACCACAUUUAAAACCAUGAAAAUUAACUCAGAAAAUCCAAUAACCAAGUUUUUUUAUUUGAAUCUUGCAUCUACUUCUCUUUUGCCGAAUGGAUUUUGACCCAUUAGGGUGAUGUUAAUAAAGGUGGUUUAAUGCAUGAUUAUGCUACCCCAUAUUUUGGUAUUUGUUUUUGGAUUUGAAACACUACAAACUUUAUUAGUUUUAAAGCCGUAAAGGCAUCUUUAUAGGCAAAAGUAUUUUUAUAUAUUUUAUUUUGAGGGAAUUCUUGUCCCAAAAGUUGAAUCAUAUGAAGAUAUGAUUUUACAAAUUUUGUUGCAUUUUAUUUGACUCAAUUUGGAGCUUUGAAUCAAAAGUUUAGUUCAAAACCAGAAAAAAAGAAAAAGGAAAAAAAGAAAAAGAAAAAAAAAGGAACCGGACCGACCCUUACUGGGCCGGCCCACCUACCGAACCGCGCCUGCAGCCCAUCUCCACGCCGCAGAGCCACCUUCGCUGACAGGCGGGCCACACCUGUCAGUUUCGUCUUCGUCUCCAACUGCCGGCCGAUUUCCACGCACGGGCGUCGUCCACCCCGAGCAUGACUCCACCCCGCGUCCUCCUCGCCCACGACCCCCUUCUUCUCAACGGAGCGCGUCAGUAUAAAGCUCCUCACCCCCGCAGUCUUUCCCCUCUCUCGCUCGACCGUUUCCAUGCCGCCAGGCUGCCCAAUUGCUCGUCGGAGAACCUUCGGCCGCCGCCGUGUUUCUUGGUCGCCGCCGAUUAACCGGUGAGCCCUAGCCGCCAUCUUCUAGUUUUUCUUUCUCCUCUCUUUUUUGCGCAGGCCGUGACGCGCUCCUUUUUUCUUCUUGUGCACUGUAGCGCUCCGACCGCCGACGACCGAGAGCUCGCCAUCGCCGCCGCCUUUCCCUCGUCCUAGGCGACGACUUAGUCCACGCCGAGGAGAGCCGCCGCCGUCAUCUUCCUCGCCGAGCUUGGCCGCUUCUUCCCCACCGUUUCCCGAGCCCCGAAGAUCAUCGGAACACUGCCGCCGUCGCUUCCCGUUGCCGCCGCCGCCGCUCGCCGAAAACCUAGACCGCCGCCGGUAAGCCCCAGCCCAUCCUCAUCCGUCCUAUCUAAAUCAACGGUCGCGAUUAGAUUUUAUCUUAAUCCUGAACCGGUACGUAGAUCCAACCGUAGGAUCUCACUUAAGUUAGAUCCGAUGGCCCAUGUUUUAUUUUAACCCCGAAACGGUAUCCACCAAUCAGGAGCCGCCACGUGUCACCUGUUUAAUUAAAAGAUUUUAUCACGGCCGAAUUAAAAUGGAAAUCUUGCAGAAACACCCCUGGAUAUUCAAAUGAUCAUAACUCUUGAACCGUUUAGCCAAAAUUUAUGUUCUGCACCUUUCUGGAAUCCUCAUGGCAUGUAGAUUCUUUUGGCACUGUUCAAUUUUGAAUUUGGAUAACUUUAACAGAACCAAAUUACAGAAUGGUUAGCUAUGGUUUAUAAUUCAUAUGAAAUGUUUUAAAACUAUUUUGAACCUGUUAUAAUUUCGAAAAAUGUCGAAAGUAUUUUCCCUAUCUAGUAGGAUCAAAGGGAGAAUUAUUUUUGUAGAAUAAACUUGCAGUACCAAACUAUUUUGUCCAUGCCUCCUAAAAACCCAUUAAACUAUUAUUAAAUCUCGUUUUGAUUAUUGCACAAUGAGUACCUUCUUAAUAUGUUAUAAUCUGUCCAACCCUUUGAAAAAUUCUUUAAAAUAGAAACUAAAAUUUUGGAUACUAAAACCAAGCUAGGAGUGCAUCAUGGUAAACUUUGCAUCAUGGCAUAUUCUUUGUAUUGAAUUGCAUGUUUAUGUGUAUUUGUGUUUAUUUAUUUUUUAGAUUGUUUGGAGUGUGAACCCUGUUGUUGCAAAGAGUGCAAGAACUACCACAGCUUUGAGCAAGGCAAGUCACUUUGAUCAUUUUCUCUAAUAUUUUACUAUGCACUAGAUGUUUUAUUAGUUGCAUUAGGAAUAUUAUUUGUAUCUCUAUGCUAGCUAUGAAUCCCAGGUAGUGUAGUUUUAUCCGUGCCAUUACCUUGCUACCAAAUUGCCAUCGUCUGUAGAUGAGUUCUAUGCUAUGGUAGUAUCGUGGGGGAAAUUACUACAUCAUGAUAAUAUUGUGGUUAUGGUAAAAAGUUGUGUUUUACAUAGUGUAUGGCAAAACAACUUAAUUUUUAAUGAACCAUCCUGGGUGGGCGGCUUUGAGUUUUGGAUGUUGUGCGACAUCAGGUCCAUGUCUAUGGGUCCAUUUCUAUGAGUCGUCUCGCCAUGUCUAUGGGAGCGCCCGUGUCGCAAAUUGUAGAAUGCCACCCGGGGUAACUAGAGACUGGACUAGUUUCAUGUUUAGUAGCUUCCAGUACAACCACAUGGUAAUAUGGGCUCUACCAAGAUUGAGUAAGCUGUUUGAACCUGGGCUCGAGGUGAUCGUGAUGAUGUAGCCGUGUAGGUGGGAGCGGGUCCCUCGGUAUGGGUCUGGGGGAUUACUUCUGAAAGUCUUGUAAUCAAUGCCGUUGCUACUCUACCCUGAGGACAGCAAGGGAUUAACACGUCGAUUUCUUGUGGGUAAAGUGUACAACCUCUCGAGAGUGUCAAACUAAGUACUUAGCCGAGUCCCCGGUCAUGGACAAUUAUGAGCAGCUAGAUUAGGGUGUAAGGAAAGUCUCACUCACUCUAAUUUCCUAAAUUAAAAUGAAUGGUUUGAACUUGGGUUUAGGAGCAUUGAUGUGUCUACUCAAUGUCCAUAGUUUAAUAGGAGCAUUGGUGUGUCUACCCAAUGUACAUUAGUGAUAAAACUAUUUGGUUAAAAUGAUAGGACUAAACAAUUAAGCUUUUACGCAAUUAGCCUGAACUCCACCUUGCCAUAAAUAUGCAUGUAUUUGUUAGGUGUUGUUAUAUCAAAUUGUGAUCUUGCCAAUAUAUUCAAUGUAUUGACCCUAGUGGCUGCAUCGUUUAAUGAUGCAGGAAGUUCUGACGAAGAGUAAGGGUACGUUUUGGUCUUUGAGUUGCGAGCCUACAUUCCAACACGCUACCACUGUGGUGUUGAUGUGGCUCUUGUAUUUUCGUUUUCCGCUAUUGAACUUUUCGUUUUAAUUCUAGCUAACCCAUCUGGUUAUGCGAGUUUGUAAGUACUCUUAAAUUCUGAAUAUUCUGUUGUAAUAUUUGAGACCUUUGUUCUAUGAUAUUACAUCUUGAAAUUGUGUUUACUAGUGAGUCGAUCCAGGGACUACCACUUAAGCACAGAGAUCGAACCCUUUUAGGGGCACGGUCGCUUCAGUCCCGGUGCCCAGUGCUUAAGGGAAAUUUCUGGAAAUUUUGGCCGGAAAAUGAAUCCUUGUUCUCGCCAUUUUGGUUUUUCAGGGUUUUGGGAAGGAGCAGCCAAUCUUUUGCGACAUAACCGGUAAAUGUGCCCAGGGAUUAGGCAAAAUCGGCAAUGAAUCGCAUUAUUGCAAUUAGUGGCGUGAUGACCCUCCUUCAGACACCGAGAGCAUGUGGGGCCUUGGCCCAGUGUCUUUGUUUCGGCCCAUGUCAUUCUCAGUCCCCAAAGUAUCAGCGCGAUGAGAUGAAUUGCCAUUAUGGGCCCGGCCAUUAUGUUGUCCAUUAAGUGGAUUGAUGGGCCCUGAUUUGCCGCCAGCUUGAAUGUGCAUGUCCACCCUGGAGUUACCGUUGGUGGUCGUCUUCUCCGGUGACGGUGCCGCCGUCUGUGUGGCCGGAAAUUGAAGACGCUGAAAUAUGGUAGCAAUUGGGAUGGGCUUCUUGUGUUGCCACUUUAGUUAGCAAUGUGAGCCUCCUUGUAUUGUUGAAUGUCCUGAGUAGAGUAUCCACAAUCUGCCAAGUCCAUCUCCUUAGUGGGUGUCCAGGGGGACAAGGGAGAUGAUGUCCCAGGAUCCUCAAGCCUUGAGAAGGCAGAUUGACGAACAAUGGGGACAACAUUGGCUCCGGUGAGGAUGUCAGUGACCUGAGAUGUCACUUGUGCAUAGGAUUUGUCAUAUCUUCUGGGAGAACAGAAUUUCUUGGGAGAUUCCCAUGAUUGUUGUUCUUCAUGUUCCCAGGAAUGAAAUUCCUUGAUGUAGUCCGGACCUCCAAAAUCCCAAAGGUGGAAAUAGACCACAAAAUUUGAGCAUGUGAAUGAGGCCAAGUUAGCAAUAUGAAAUCCAAUCAACUUAUUGGUGACCAAAAACCUGAAUGUACGAUCACGCUGCAAUGUAACUCUGAAUUCCUCAGGGAUGCCACCAAGACAAAUGUUGAGAAUGUUGCCAACGGAUUCAGGAGUAAGCCUGAGCUUGCAUCUUCCAAAUGAUGCCACCAUAAAGAAGUCUGGUCUAGCAGAGGUGGGAACCGUGAUGGGGAAGUACCAUCGUCGCUAGAGUUCUUGCUGGAGUUUGAUGCCAGGCCUUCAGUCAAUGUUCAGGUUCAUACCUUUCACAGGAUCCGUCUCUUGAUCAGGUGGAUUGUUGUUCUUGUCCGCCACCUUAGGCAGUUGCUGGGGCUGUGUAGGAGGAUUGUGCGGACGAAGUUCCAUGGCGAAGAGGUCCAGUGUGGUCGUCAUGGGUGUCGCCGCCGUCGUGGGAGCCACCAUCUUCAUCGAAGUCGCCUCAUCCGAGGGUACCUCCGGCCUGCGUUCCAUGGUUGAGAGGUCCAUGGCCGCCGGAGUGCGCAUAACCGGGGGAGGACGUGGGAGGGGGGGUGCCGGCCAUCUUUCCAUGGCCGAGAGAUCCAACGUGGCUGCCAUGAGCAGGGUGGCGAGGAUGCCACAGGGCAGAGCCUAGGCCACCAUAGCCUCUUUCACUAACCAGGAACUCCAAAUUAUCCGGCGGUAAAUCUAGAUUACGUACCUUCUGCUCCUUAAAUGUUCUAUACUUUGACUUCAUAUCGUAGGUGGGAUGGUGUCAGUGACACGGGAACCGCCGAACCGGGGUACCUAGAUCUACUGAUAUGGGCCACACUCCACGCCACGAAGGUCUAAUGCUGCCCCCAAUCGAAGGUGUUAGUCUACUGCUACCCCCAAUCGAAGUACUACAAGCUCACACUAGGGGGCUUCCCCGAGCACCGUGAAGCCUUCAGUAGCAUGAGCUUUGUUACACUGCCCAAAGAUUAAUGUGACCCGUCCAUUUUUUAAUCUAAGGGCUCAAAUUUGUUGUUACUCCCUGAUACUCCAACUUAUAUGUAUGGAGUACCUCGAUGGAGUUUCAAGAAACAAGGGAAAAAUUGUAAUCAAAGCCGCUGAAAAUCCAAUCUCGAAAGGCAAAAAAAAAAUACACGUACAUAACUCUCAACGGCGGACGCUGCGAUGACGACGCGGGCGAGUUACACGGAAAGCCACUGCUGCCGCGGCAAGGACGGCGCCGACGUGGAGGAGAGCGACGGCGCGUUGUGCAGAGGGCUACGAUCGCUGCUGCGAGACAUACAGCGGCGCGCUGCGAGGAUUCAGCGGCGGUGCUGUUAGAGGACUCCAGCAGAGGCGCACAAGGACAGUGGAGGCACCAGAGGAGGGCGGCAACUGGAGGAUGGUGGACGCGUCGGAGGAGGGCGGCACAGGCCACGACGAUGAGGACCUCAACAGGGCAGGAGGACCGUGUUGGAGCAGUGUGACAGCGGCACUGGAGGAGGGACACGCCGGCUGCUGCAAUGAGGGCGGUGCCGGGCUGGAGCAGGGUGACGCGCGUGGCCAGAUGGGAAAGUAGAAUUUUCCUAUUUUGUUUUAUUUUUUAAAAUGUGAAAAGUCUAUACUAUCCUUCCCAGUACUCCGUUUAGUCUAUGGAAGUAUUAGGUACCGUUGAAACCAGCUAAUAUGAUUGGUGACCAGCGAUGAAAGGAGCCAAUGAAUAGUGCUCGGGGGUGCUCCCGAGCACACCAUGGUCCUCCAUGUGUCGGCUCCAACCCGUAAGCCUUAGAUGAGUCAAACCCCAAAUCUAACCAUCAUCAGCCAUCCAAAUUUUACAUUCUAUCAUUCCAUGUUCAUUGUGUCAUUCGGCCCCAACCCACCCAGUGAGCCUUAGAUGGGUCAAACCCCAAAUCUGACCAUCAUCAGCCAUCCAAAUUUUACAUUGUAUCAUUCCACGUUCAUUGUGUCAUUCCAUCUGGCUGAUUCCGCAACCACUUGGAGAGUGGCAGGACAGACAUGUCGUAUUUCAUGGUUGUCGAAAAUCAACUUAACUAAGGUAAUCCGGGACAUAUUCUUUUUGCCUUGCAUCCAUAAAACCGAACCUGAUGUUGUACUGCUCACAAAAGAUUGUGGAUUUUUAUGGAUUGCAAUUUUUUAAAAUUUGGCAAAACUUCCAAUGAGUAGUUGACAAUAGGGAUGCAAGUGGAAUCCCACUUUAAGUCCCACUUCUAUUACAUUAGGGAUUUAAUAUUGGUGUGAUCCCACUUGACACCCUAAUUGACAAGAUACUAUAGUCAGAACUAGCAGGUCACAUGGGCAGAAAAACAGAGGCUGAAAAUGGAUUCUAUUCCUUGCAUUUCCACGACACAAAUGUCUUAGUUAACUAAUUACAGCACCUCGCGAGAAGGGUACGAUAAUAGAACCCUUCAGGAGGAGGCCCAGAGAUCAAUCGAGAUACAGAACGGGGAAUUGGACAAACAAAAACUGGUCCUAGUUGUUCUGCUACGGUAACGCUAACGAAGGAAGAUACACGGACUCUCGUGCUGCGUUCCCAAUUUCUCCACGGAUCGGGAGCUGGGGAAAACGAACACGAGAAUCCAUCCGGAGGAAGAAUGGCCGAGUUAGAAGAAGAGGCAAGCUGCAGGUACUGAACUCGAUGCAGAGACAGCAGAAUAUCUCAGCUGUUGGAGGACCUGACCAGCUGGCGCAAGAAGCCCUUGACCUCGUCGGGGUCCCGGAGGGAGAAGGAGGCGAGGGUGUCCUUGGGGAACUUGGAGACGAGGAUCCCGGCGCCCUGCCCCCUGCCUCGGAGCACCUUGAAGGCGUCCUCGUCCGUGCGGUCGUCGCCGAUGUAGAUCGGGAACACGUCGUCCCGGUCCGCAAAGCCCAGCGCGCCCAGCAGGAACUCCAGCGCCCUGCCCUUGUCCCACUUGAUCACGGGCCGGAUCUCCAGCACCAUCCUCCCCUGCGUCAGCAGCAGCCGCGGGUAAUCCCGCAGCACCGCCCGCACCUGCUCCGCCAGCGCGCCCCAUGUCUGUGUUGACCAAAGCAGUAAAAAGAAGAAGAAUCAGAAUCGGGAAUCAGAUCCUGUGUGCCCAUUCAUAAAACAUCCUGUAGGAGCUAGAUUCCCAGCACGAGGGAAACAUGUCAUAGCAAUGCGACUGUGGGUUGAUUAUUUGUGCUACCUUUUCUUCGACGCAGCGGAAGUGGACGGACAAGCAGAACUUGUUGUUCUCCACCUUGGCGCCCGGGAUGGACGCCAUCUUGGCCACCAGCGCGUCGUGGACUUCCCCGAUCAUCGGCAGGAACUCGCUCGCGGGCUGGCACAGCACUGACUUGGCCUGCAGGUCGAUGGUUCAAGAGAGAGUCAAACACGCGAACGGGCCAGAUAAAAUAAAACAGCAAAUUAACCAUGAUCACGUAUGUACGGUGCACACGGGAUUGACAGGAGAGAAAACUAAUAAAGCGAGUCCUUUUCAGGCGAUAUAUCUUUACUUUAAUUUAACGGUGGCUUGUGAGCGCAAGAAUAUGAGAGGGAAACAAGAUGUAAUAUACGUGGGGGAAGAAAGAGAUGUAUAGGAGUAGAGUAUUAACCGACCUUGCUGGGCGUGAGGUGGUGGUUGGAGUCAGCCGUGGGGCCUUUGAUGUCCAUCCCAUGGCUCCCGGCGUAGUACAGCUCCUCCAGCCUCACGAAGUUGAACACCUGCAGAGCAGCCAUGAUGAGUUUAGUUUCUCCGGCCUCUCACAUCGCCAUCGCAGCCACACAAGCAGCAACAAGGACAGAUCGAGCGAAAAAGAAGGGCCAUUUCAGGAGGGAGGGAUGGCCGGUAAGUCAACCAAUGGCAAGGAUGCUCCUGCCAGGCCAGCAAGUGGAUUGGAGGAGCUUCUAGUUCUAGGCCGCUCUGCUUGUCCCAUAUGCACCUAGCCGCUAAUUAAGCUCCUUCCUUUUUUUCCUUUCUCGAGCUCGUGAGCACGAAAAGGAAAGGCAAGGGAAAGGCGUUCUGCUUUUCGGCAAAGAGCGAGCUAGCCGGCCUGGGUCUGGGUGGUGGUUGGCGAAUGUACCUUGUCUCUGCCCCGGCCGCUCACGAUCGCCGUCGGGAAGUGCUCCGCCACGCCGCGAACCGCGUCCCUCAUCUGUGCGAGAUAUCAAAGUUCACAACGGGUGGUUGGAAUCGAAUCGAAUCGAACAAAGGAAAUUAAGGAGCAGAGCAGAACAGAGCAUGCUCUGCUCCUUGACGGGCUGCAGCCGCAGUAGUAGGUACCUCCUCCGUCAUGACGGCGCGGUCGGGGUCCUCCACGAUCGGGGACAGCGUGCCGUCGUAGUCGAGGAACAUGACGACCUGCUUCCCGCUCGCCGCCGCCGCCACGGCCCCGAAGCUGCCCAAUGCCGACGGGUGCUUCUCCUGCAAAUAUAUAAUUAAACACGCAACGAUAAGUCCAAGCGUUGAUGUCAAAUUCAGGCCAAGUCAAGAGGAGGAGACACACACACGGAUACGCACCAUCCAGACGUCGUCCUCCGUCUCAUCCGCGUCGCUGCUGCCGGUAGCGGCGACCCUGGGCGCCACGAGCCUGUGCCUCGGCGACGACGCCUUCAUGGAGUCGAGCCAGGACCCCAUCAUGGCCGCGCCGAGGUCGACCUGCCCGGCCAGCUUCUUGCACGAGUCGCCACCGGUCCUCGGCGGAGGGAACGAGAAAUGUCGCCCCACCGCCGCGUCCUCCGGCACAACCACGGCGCCGUGCUUCGUCAUGGCCAGUGCACCUGAGCUUGCUGCAGAUCCCAGCCGAUCGCCCGACCAAACUCGCGACUUCUCUGUGUGGAGAAGGGAAGAACAAUACAGACGACUGCUUUGUGCUGCUUGUUGUGUGGAGUUUGGGAGUGGGAGGUGGAGGGUAUUUAUAGGGGAGAUGGGUUGUACACUUUUCUGGGUUUUGUUUCCUUUUUGUUUGUUUUCCUCCCUGAAUUCUUCUCCACUGGGUGGUUGGGAAGGUACGUGUCUGAUUCUUUUUUUAGGGCCGUGCUAGUCUUUUAUUUGGACAUGGAGAACCAAAUUUGUCUCUCUUUGUUUGGAUACAUUAUUUGGUCGGUUCUGGUUACUUUUGUACCAAAACCUUUUCUUAUGGAGUUGUGUAAAAAUUUCGGUAUUGCAUUACAGCAGCAUAUAUCAUUUUAGCUCAAAUACAAAUACAUUAGCAACUCCAUAAGAAAUGUCAAAUGAUAAUGUGAAAAAUGUGGUUGUUGUGCUGCUUCGUCAAUUGUAACUAGUAAAUGUGGUUGUUGUGCUGCUUCGUCAAUUGUAACUAGUCGGAGAUGAACACACAGACAAUCGAAAGGUACACGCUAUGAAAAAUGUUAGCAAAGCAGAACCAAAAGGUAAAAUCAGAAUAUUUAGAGUAUCUAGAAAACUUUUAGCAACUUCAGUGAUAAGACAGAAAUCUUUAUAGCCAUUCUUUGCAAGGACGAACAGUAUGCAAGUAAUAUCAAUAAAGAUCUUAAGGGUGACCGACACCGCCUAGAACUGUCCAAAAUUUGAAGAAAAGAUUUCUUUAUCCUGUUUAUAUUUGAAUAACUCCAUAUCAAAUAAUAAUUUUAAAAUUUCAUCUUAACAGCCCAUCAUUAGUACUCCCUCCGUCCAACAAAAGAUGUCUCAGGUUUAUUAAAAUUUGGAUGUAUCCAGACAUAACCUAGUGUAUAGAUGCAUUCAAAUUUGAUCAAAGUUGAGACAUCCUUUGUUGGACGGAGGGAGUACAAUUUAUUAUAAAAUACUCCCUCCGUUCCAUAAUUCUUGUCGAAACAUUACGUGUAUCUAGACGCUUUUUAGUAAUAGAUACAUUCAAUUUUGGGCAAAUUUGAGACAAAAAAUUAUGGAACGGAGGAGUAGAAAAGACUGAUCUGCGGUGAGGUUGUGUCUAUAAUCCAUGGCCAGCAGCCUAUCACCCUUUCCUGAUAAUGCUUACCUCCUCUGAUCUUCUUCUAAACCAUUUCAGAACAUGUCACAACAUUUUUUAUGUCGAUCUGUCUUUGUCCCAGUUAAUAUUCAGUGGUGGGGGACGAAUUAAAAUUUUGAUGUGGCAAAUCCGAUAGCAUGGGAGUGACAAUGUGUGCAAUGGUAAAAGUAGCGAAUACACUAAAGUAUGCGGUCAAAUAUUUAAUUGAGAUGGCAAGACAUAUAAUCUAUGCACCAACAUAUCUGGAUGGAAAAAAUACGUGGCUAAGUGAAGCCUAAACAAAAGAAUCCCCACCAAUUUAUCGAAUAUAUUGGUGCAAAGAACAAUAACAACAACUUCUCACAUCUGGAUGCAUUAGUAGUAACAAAAUGUCUGAGACAUGCUUCGUCUGGUGCGUGGCUUUGUCGUAAACUCGUAGUGCUGCUUAUUUUUUUUUCGAAAAGGAGAAUGAACCCCGGCCUCUGCAUAAAAAAUGUUGCACACAACCCUUUUUAUUAUAUUAUUCAAUAAAUCUGACAAAACGAAUACAUUAAGCUAGCCAAAGCCAAUUUUCUGACGACAAUUUUGUCGAAACACCUACAAACUUGAUGAACGGGUGAUCAUGAUGUUGACCUCAUGUUCUGACCACACAUCAACGUAAAUCAUCUAAAUCCGUUGACCGCAACGAUGCACGGCCGAUUCAUUCGUAGUGCCAGGCCACACGGAAUGACCGCCGUUGGCCAUGGGAGAUGGGGAGUGAGGAGUGGCAGGGUAAGAUCGGACGGAAGAUUUGUCCGGCGCCUCGGCGAUGCGACGACAGCGAUUGCUUUGCCGGUCAGAAGGUUUGAAGAGGAAGACAAGAAAUCAAGUGACAGCAUCAACAAUUGUGGAAUCGAUCGAUAUACUUGUACCGGGCCCUUUUUUUCUGGACAGAAACAGAAAAAAGAAAAAGCUCAUUGCCCACCCAAGGCCUAUAGCUCGUCACACGAUCGUGUUCUACCUCUGUCAAUUUUCCCUAGAAAACGGAAACUAGGAGGGAUUCUAAUCUAAUGACGCUUUGCCAAUUCCUCCAAAUCACCUGUCACACCUUGCUAUAUUGGGCGCUCCGCCAAUGUGAAUAUUGAAAAUCUGAGUUCGUCACGAGGAAGUUUUUACCCACAAAUGAAACUUUCUUCCCACGGAAAAAAGGUUUCCCUUGGAAUUGAACAACUGUAGUGGUUAAACCAGUCAACGUUUGCAACUGAAACCUGAACCGCUUUAACUAACGGCAGAAUACUUCCCUCGGGUAAAGGAAAACGGAAGAGUACAUGUGCUUGACUGCUUGCCAGGCUUGACCCAUGAUCCUGGCCGUAAACGUGAUCAGAGUUAAUGGCGUCAACCAAAUAUUUUUCCUAUUUCUAAAUUUUGAACUGACUACAACGAAGGGAUUCUUUUUUGGGUCUUAUUGUAAAUAGGCAUGAAAAUAGCUAGAUGGUCACGACCAGUACUUGCACACAAAGAGAAGCAAAUGGCACCAGGGAUAACGUGCUCUACUGGGAUGAACAAUAUAUUUAAAGUUAUUAAUAUUUUUAAACAAAUACAACUGCAAAAAAAAAAACAGUUCUCUACACGUUUGCCAUUUUUUAGAACAAAUAACAGUUUCUUUUCUUUUUUUAUAGCUUUUCCUAUAUAAAAGACGAUACACAGGGAAUGAGUCUAGCUAACUUGGUUGGGUGAGUGGGUGUACAAUCCCAACACCUGAGUUUAAAUCCUCACGGAUGCGAAUUUAGUUUCAUAUUAUAUAUACUGUAUGGGUCUUCCUUACAGAUUCUUGUAAAAAAAAAGACGAUACACCUGACUUGGUGUGUUCUAGAAAAUAUAACUAAAAAAGAACAGCUUUGUGCUUGGAAAAAGAUUCCAGUGUUAUAAAAAAACAUUCUUCAUGUAGCAAACAUGAUUUUCAGCAUGUGCUGACAUAUUUCAUGUAAUAUAGUACAGAAUAUAGCACAUAGAAGUCUCAACCUAACGAUCCUUGGAAAAUGCCGGAUCUAUGGGCUGCUGCUAUAAUUCGCCUUUCACAAGAUCUGUGCGCACCCCGCGCCUUAAUUUCAAAGAAAAGGGGGAAAAAGUUCUAAAUUCUUUGCACACUAUAGUACGAUGCAAAUUAACCUCUCGUGCAUGGACGCAGAAGUUUCAUCUCGGACACGAACCCUUCGUCAGGAAGAUUCUCCAGCUCGUCAAAGACUCGAAGAAAGUCGCGGUUUCCAGGUGAUCGCUCCCCUCCCACGCCACCUCAAACAUAGUUUAAUUGUAUGCACGCAUAAUUGUCCAUACAUGUCUCAAAACCUAGACUUGUGUUGGGUAUAUUCAAGAGCAUGCAUGUGCUGCUCUUAACUACCAGCCAGUAUACUGUAUUAGUUUCCUAAUAGGAUUCUCUCUCGCUUUUUCUGUUGAGCUGUUCUGCUGCAACUUGGGAGUCAAGUCUACCGUCUACAUUACUUUGACUCUUGGGAAAAGCUGAUGGAUCCAUGACUGACUCAAUCUCCAUGGAUGCAUGCCCCGGGAUCACGGAUGAUCGAUGCCGCGGUCGCAACAAACAAUACAAGACAGACAUGGUAGAAGCUGCCAUGCUUCUUCCCUGCGCUUUUCUCUGAUCUGUCGGAGAUACGGCCGGCCUUAUUGGGGAAUAAGUUCUUACGCAUGGAGCUUUGGGCCCUCGAAUCGAAAGGAUACAAAUCACUACGCACACACGGCACACCCAUGCUCUAUGUUUGACGCUAGUCUCUUCGGAACAUACGAUCAUCAGUACUUCUAAAUGACGUGAAUUUGUACAAAAAUUUAUAAAAAUCCACGUCACUUAUUUCAGGACAGAUGGAGUAUUAUUUUGAAAGGGAGAACAUAUGAAUUAUGUUAGAUAUAUAAAUUACACCCUUAAUAUGUUUUACUGAUGAUGAUAAAUUACAACGGGGCAGUUGGUACUGAUCAAUUUUAAUAAGUACGACGUGAGUGUGUGUUGUCAGUGAGAAUUUUCUGUGAUAGCGCAUUUUUGUGUAUUCUGAAUAAUCAAAUUUUCUACUGAUAAUGAUGAACUUAGUAAUAUGGUUAUUUUUAUCCAUGGAAGGAAGGACUGUUCUCAUCAAUUCCGUACUUAGUAGUAUCGUUAUUUUUAUGAUGUCGUUCUUUGAGAUUUCACGUGGAGUUCUCAAAUAGGCUUGAUUAUUUUUGUCCAAAUUUUUCUGGUAGAAUGAUAGUCAGCAAAAAAAAAUAUAGACUCGCAAAAUGGAGCAUUUUGUGCAGGCCAAAAGACCAAGGGGGUCUAGGUAUUCAGGACCUUGAUGCUAAAAAUACUGAUCUUCUUAGCAAAUGGUUGUUUAAACUUUUGUCUGAGAACGGUAUUUAGCAGGACUUGAUAGGGAACAAAUCCAUUGGUUCGCAUGCGCUGUCUGAGGUGGUGCGGAAACCAAGGGAUUUUCACUUUUGGGGAGGUCUGAUGAGAACCAAGCAGUCUUUUUUUUCGUUUUGGAUCGUUCUCUAUCAAGGAUGGCUCUCAAGUGAGAUUCUGGGAGGAUUCUCGCUCGGUGGUCGUCCACUUCAAAACCAGUACCCUUCCUUAUUCCUCGUUGUUCGUAACAAACACGAUGCCUUGGCUCAGGUUCUCGCUUCCUUCCCACCAAAUAUGUCUUUCACACGAAGUCUUGUCAGAACUAAAUUGGUGGAGUGGACCGACCUCCUAACUCGCCUUACUACUAUGAACCUAUUUUCUAACCAUGAUGAGUUUUGUUGGAAUCUUCACCCUAGCGGUUUAUUUUCGGCCCAUGCUGAUACACCGAUAUAUAACAAACAGUUAUUGAGAAUAAAGGUUCCUCUAAAAAUUAAAAGAAAAUUCUUUGGUUUUUGCGGCGGGGGUUACUCUUACUAAAGAAAACAUGUUAAAGCGGAAUUGAAAGGGUAGUCUAAAGUAUAGUUUUUGUGCUGAGGAUGAAACCAUUAUACACAUUUUUUUCCGGUGUCAUGUCUCUCAAUCUAUAAUGAUACAAAUAGUUUCUAAUCUUUAUCCUCCCCGUGAUGUUGCUCACAUGUUUGGGUCCUGGUUACGGGGUGUUAACAGAAUAUUGAGCUCGCUUCUUUUGUUCAGGGCAGCAGCUUUAUGUCGGACAAUAUGGCUAUACAGAAAUGAAAAUGUAUUUAAUAGAAAGAAUUUAACAUUUCCAAUCCAGAUUUUGUAUUCUUGCACGCACUGGCUUCAUACUUGGUCUAUACUCCUCAAGCCGAUGGACCGUCUACUGUCUUUGAUGGCAUGCAACCAGCUGGAGAAAGUUGCCAGGGAUAUUUUUACCCACCAUGGAUGGCGGUCUAGUCUCCGCCUUAAGGCUGUUUGAGUCAUUAUAUUUAUUUCAUUGUAAUAAGUUUGUUCGGGCGCAAAGGCCGGGAUUUAAUACUCUGUGAUUGUAUUGCUCGAUAUAACAUUUUGAUCAAUAAAAGCUUUCAUUUUGAAAAAAAAACUGAUCGACAAUGAUGAACUACAACAGGGCGGUUGGUACUGAUCAAAUUACAUACACAACUACAAGGAGAUUGCCCAUGGCAGUUCUCAUGUCAUUAGCGACGUAUUUGAUCGAGUUGCAUUGAUAGUGGGCAAUUUUCUGUGUAUCCUGAUUCCUGACUCUAUACGAGCUUUAAGCAAAUACUCAAGAGUAGCACGCGCUGGGCGCCGUGGACGGUCGUCGGACGGGCCGGCUGGCCUGGUCCCCGAUUCAUCGUACGUAUCUCUAAAAAAACAAAGGAACAGCGCAUGGUGUACAGACACUUGUAUUUUUCUUUCGCAAAGACUGCGUGGAAUCCAAAGCUUUUUACGCCACGAGAGAGGACUUCACGGUGAUGAAGCAUAGGGCUGGGUGUGGACUGGACACUCCUACCCCUUGCCUUCAAGAUUCCAAGCAGAGCCCCACAUCGAUGCGAACGUGAUAGGUAAAAUUUUAAAAGAUCCAGGUUCAGAUUCACAACCGUUCUUAGUACUCCCCGGUCAAAAGUCUCUAAUGCCGCCAUUGACUACGAGCCAAACCGGUCGCGCACAUAUUUCUCUGCCUUGGUUUUUUUUUUUAGGGUGAAAGACUGGAGACAUAGAAAUACAGUGUUCACGUAUACGAAAAGUUUAAACUGUGCAGAAGGUUAGUUGCACGAGUCAGGCCGUUAUAUUAAAUUGGAUGUUGACCCACCAGAAGUCGAGAAAUCUGCACCGACCAAAUCCUUUAAGCUCGGUUUGUAAAGUUUUUUGUGUGGAAAUGUUGAUUAUUUUUGUUGUGAAAUGGGUGUAUAUUCUUAAGAUCACAGUGAGUUAUACCCACGCAGGACUGCUAUACCGAUUACUCACAUUUAUCCCGUGGACAUAUUAACUAACACGAUAUAGCAAUUGAUAGGCAUAGGUAAAAUUAGGUUUUGAGCCGCCAAUGUCAAAUCUCCUUUCAAGAAAACACAAUCAAUUGAUUCUUGUUGGGAGACUAGUAGGUAGCUCCUCAUAUAUUUUUUUUUGCAGGGAGGUAGCUCCUCAUUGAUUCCUCUGUUAAUCGGAAGUCGGUUUGAAGUGCCCCAAUCGCGUAUCGAAUCACUCAUUUUCUAUUUUUUAGAGCGUGCCACUUCUUAGUUGACAUUUGAACAACCUAUAUGUUGGGCAACGUUUGAUGCAUGUUAGCACAAACUCGUGGACUCGUGGCUACCACACCAACCACUUGUAAGUCAAAGGCAAUGUAGGACCACUAGCUAAUUAAUCCUUCACUUCUUAGUACAUACAACCACUUAUUUGAAGAUGUUAAUUACUCCAUUUCGAUAAUAUUCUCUCUGUUUCAAAUUAGUUAUGCAUGCGUGCAGCUUUUUAAAGUCGAAAUGAAGUAAAGAGAUAAAAUACUCCUCUUUCAUAUUCACAUGAAAUUUAUUGCACCAUGUAUUCAUCGUUCCUUGCCAAUCUCUACUUAACCUCACAUCUAUUUGUCAACUGUUUUGCUAGGGCUUAGUCGCCAGAGAAAUAAGAAUUUCCCAAUCGACUACUUGAGCCGUCCGAUCUACUUUGAGAUUCUCACCUUUGACUUUAUAAUUUGUUCUUAUGUAUUUGAUACAGAUGGGCGGUCAAGAUCAUCGACUUAGAAAUUUUUAUUUCCCAGUCAACUUUGCUGAAUCCAUUUAUCAAACAGGGUGUUAGCCUUAAGAAGAGUGAAAGCAUGGUGAAUUAGGUUUGAGAAUCUAAUUAUACAGUUAUUUUGGUAUCAGCGCGUUCGGUGUGACCGACACCAGAGUUAGGUUCUUUGGGGUGCGUGUGGUGGUCGAUUGCAACCGCCGGGGACCUCAUCGCUACCCAUGUCCCAUUGACAUUUCGCUACCAUUAAUUCAGUACUCAUGUGUGUGUUUUAAAGCUCACCUUAAAGAACGGCACACGCAUGUGUACAAGGACACAGGUCCAUGCGGCAGCGCGCGGGUGGCUCGCACAGAUGCAACGUAGGCAUGUGCGGGCUCGGCCGCAGAUGACCGGCGCCGUCACGGUCACGACGUACGGUGCCCGGAGGUCGUCUAACGGUCCGGUCAGUAUUACUCCCCGCAAAAUAUUACAAGUAUCUAAACACAUUUUAGAUAUAAAUACAUUCAUGUUGACCAAAUUUGAGUUAUUUAAUAUGGAACGGAAAGAUUACGAGUUAGUAAUAAGUAUGGUAAACAAAAAAACUUUGUUCCGAUGAGGUGUGGCCCUCGCAUUGGACAGACCAAUUCGCGGGGCCCGUGAUAGCCGCGCGGCGUGUGGGCGGAGUCUGUCUCGCUCAUCAACGGACUUUUAACUGUCGCAUUGAACAAGAAGAUGGCGACCUGGAAUUAAACUAAACCAGCUAGCUGGUCGAUCGAUGCAAUUGACGUCUACGCCGUCGUCAAUCACGCGUGUCGUCCGCUGAUAUACGAUGUGCAGUAACAGCAUGAGGGAGGGAACACACUAUCGCUUUGCGCGACGCGUUCUUUCUUUUCCUUGGUUCAACCAUCGGGCCGUUUUAAAUUUCUCCCAAUCUUCUCAUGGGAUGCGACAGGAGUUUUAAUACAGGCAAGGGCGGUACGUGGAAGCUUCCUCCGCAGUAGUCCAUGUUUACUUAGCACGCCGGCCAGCACUUCCUAAUUAAAGCGGGUACUGCAUUUCGAAAUUCAAGCUAGCUCAUGCACUUUUAUCGGGGUUUUAAUGUUUAAUUAACUUGUACUCCGUAUUCCAAAGUGUUAAUUUUUCUAAUUGUAUCAUUUUUUGUAUCACUUAACCUUGCAGGCACAGAAAUAGAGUAGUUACGUUUUUUAGAAAUAAAUACAUCCAUUUUUAAAUAAAUUUGAGAUAAUAAUUACGAAUUGUAGGGAGUACUGGUUAUCUAUGAAACUUGAAUUUCCAAAUCCACGAGCGCUUUAUACAUUACACGACGCAGAUUGCGCCGGAUCAAGAGGUGGCGACACAUUACCGUUGAUGAUUAAUUGUCUUCAAAUUAAAGCGGUCGUGAUGGAGCCCAAAUGUUGUUAGGUUUUUUUUUUUACCAAGAGCCCAAAUGUUAGGUCUGCAAGAGCUAGACGGCCGAAUCCAUCUCCUUUUUCUAACGCAACACGCAGGCAGAAGUGGCACCAGGAAAAAGGCACCCCAGUUAUCGACCGACCGACGGAUGUGUCGAUUAAUUUUGACGCUGCACGCUGCUGCUGGCGACGACCUAAGAAUGUCGGGGUGUAGGAUGAAAAGCCAAAGGCCGGCCACGCGUACGUGUUGCAUCCUCGUGGUUGCUAUUUCGAGCAAGCUGCACCUGCAGGUACGUACGUGUACGUGGGAGGAGCACCAGUGUCAGCUCAGGCAUUAUAAGCUCGUCUCGUCGGGAAAGGAAAUUUAUAAAGGAUAGAAAGGAGAGAGAGGGACGGGGGAUAGAAAGACGAGAGCUGCAUGUACGUAUAUGCUUUGCAUGCAUCGCAAAGAUGUAAUGGGGGGUGACUAGAAUUUGCGGGCGGGUGAUAUGGAAAGGCGAGGCGAUUUGUUGGCAAAGCCCGUGCGCUUUCUAUCUCUUUGCCUUUUUUCUCACUUGAUGUGUUUGCAUUGCACAAACUUCAAUCUAGACGGCACAACCGCACAAAUGAUGGUAGUUGCUGCUUGUUUUGGGAGAUGCUUGAUCUCCGAUUAAGGUAGGAGAGUGCGUACUAUGAUGUGCUGGACCAUUUGUGUGAUACCAAAUUCAGUUCCUAAAAAAAAGGAACAUCAAAUUCAUUUGUACAUUGUAUAAGAUGCAUGAUGUUCAUAGAAACAAAUUAGGUAAUUCAUCCGAAUUAUCAAAAAAUCUUGUUACCGACUACUCCAUACAAAAGGUUGAGUUUGCGGUUGCUAACCUUUGAUGUGUUAAACUUAUUUUAUAAUCUGAUGCAGUAAACAACGCAUGGAUUCAAGAAAAAGUUAGUUACCUAGACAAUAAAAUAGACAAAAGCGGGUGGAACAAACGGGAGCAUGAAGAUCCACCACAAUGUUAAACGGAGAUUAAUAGUGUGUAUAUCAUUGUGGUAUGUUUCUUCUUCUUCUUUGCAAGCACACUAUAACAUUUAUCUCUAAGGUAGCUCUACGCCUGCAGGAAUGUGACGAAGUUGUCGGGAGGUAUAAAUCUCUUGUAGGGAUUAUGUAUAAGGUAUUUUGCUUCUAACUUUGUUUGGAAUCAAACUUCUCAAAAUUUGGCAAUUAAAGAAAAAUGCAUUAACAUCUACAAUAUCAAAUUAAAUAAGUAUGACAUGAAAACAUAUAUCAUGAGGAUUUAAUAAAACUAAUUCAGUGCCGUAGAUGUUUAUAUUUUUUUAUAAACUUAAUCAAACUUUUAUUUUUUUAAUUUAAUAACAAAUGUAGCACAUCUUUUAAAUUAAAAGAGAGGAAAUAGUUCUCAAAACCUGGCAUUUUGUUAGAUGAAGCCGAGCCCGGUGGAAACAUUUGAACAAGAAAAUAUUUGCAUAAUACUCCCUCCGUUUCAUAAUUCUUGUCUCAAAUUUGCUCAAAAAUAGAUGUAUCUAUUUCUAAAAAGUGUCUAGAUACAUGUAAUAUUUUGACAAGAAUUAUGAAACGGAGUGAGUAGUAUGCAAGUGGCCAAUAUUUUGGAGUUUCAGGAUUGUUCUAACCAGCGUUUUGGCCGAAUCACUGAUGAAGCAAGAAGCUCGAGCGAGGCCGGACUAGCGGGCAUGCAGCUGCUCUGCUCGAACAAAGGCACCACUGCACCAGCAACCCACUGCCCUCUUAUUACAUUUAUCUCUCCCUUGCUUAACUUAACUUUCUUUGUACUGAACCUACCCCACGUCAUACAAUCAGCUAAAAAAAACACAGCAAUUUGCUGCUUUUUCGUAAAAAAUAAUAAUCGUUCUAACAGAAAAGGACACCUGAGCAAUACUAGCAGCCGAAGGAGUAGAACCUAAGCAGGAAAGGCGCCAGUGGUAUUACACACCGAUGAUUUCUUAAUAUAACGUAUCUGUUAUAUUCUCAAUUCUUUCAUUUAGAAAACGGUGACUGUGUUGGAUGGAUACCUUUGAUUAUAUUUCCUUUCUUGAGCUAAAGUUGCUAGGUUAUCACUAUCACCAUCUCAUGCAACUGCCAAGUUGACAUGGUUGGGCCCAAACAAAUCCUAACUGAUUUUCUUUAGUUUAGCGGGCGCCCUAGUUUAAUUAGUCCACUUUACCCUGUAAUCCUGUUGGCCAGUACUUCAGCGCCGAUGUCAUCACAAGUUUCUUUGGUUUUUACACAACAUUAUUUUCUUUUCUUUUUGAAUUGAAAUCGGUUCUUUUUCAUAACAUUGUACAAUUGCUAUGCACGUUCAAAUCAGCAAAUGACUGGAACAGAGUACACCAUCCGCAAUUCAGUUAAAAUUACAUUAUUUUGUCACAUGUUUUUUUUAGGAGAUACUGCACUGAGCAGAGCCUCUACCUUUUUGGAGCAUCCUAGUGUAGAAAUUAUUGCGAAUAUCUUCUUAAUUAGGUUAGUUUUGUUUGUUGUUUGUGUCAUACCAUGAAUAAUUUUUUCGAUUUAAAGAUUAUAGUAUGACCGCAUCUUAUGAUUACACGUCCAUUUUCUUGAUAUGCCCAUAUAAUGGGAUCCUCUGUAAAAGCCAUGGUUCACCCAUCACCACCCAUGCAUGUAUAGGGGGAAAGCAAAAUCCCACUUUAGAUCUGAGAGUUAAAACUUUAAAAUACUAAUAGAAAAGUUUCAAAGUGGCAGUUAAUUGUUCAUUUCGUUUGAACCGAAUAGUAAACCUAGAUUGUACUCACCUGAUCUGCAUCUGAUUUCAUGACUGUCCAUAAAAUCAGCGUUUUCAUACACACUUGAAUAAUGCAGCAACUAGAAACUUUAUCAUCAGUUGUCCUUAUUCUUUUAAGAAUGAUAGAUAUUUUGCAGAAAAGUAGCUUGGGGCGUCAAUUUAUAUAUAUACAAGAUAUGCAAGAGUUUAUGCUAUCCUUUAUUGUCUCUAAAGACAAUAUUGAUGCCCAUGUUCUGUUUUAUUUCCCUUCCAUAAGCAUCAUAAAACCAUCAUUAGGAUGCUUGCAGCAAUUUGAUGUCUAUUUUGUUAUAUACCACCAUGUCGAUCACCAUUACAUUAUUCCAUUCACGAUAAAUAAUUGAAUUUGAUCAAUGAAGCUACAACAGGCUCCUCGGGUCUUCUAGGCCAUCGCUACAAGUUAUAUGGCUGGUGGCAUAAUGCAAUUGCAUUACACUUUGAUUAGCAAAAUCAGUUCUAUCAAGUCAGUUGGGCACCUAAUAUGUCGAUCGUGCUUUUGAACGGAGUCCUGGUGGAGAGGCCUCUGCCACCGUGAACCCCCUUUUAAUUCCCUCUCAGUCCAUCCCCCACAGCGGUUCCUCGACGUGUUGGCACUCGCCGCUGUUUGAGCAUCUCCAACAGCAUAUCCAUAUUUUGCUAGAAUACCAAAAAACUGUCAAUAAGGGUAUUUUGUCCCAAAAAAACGUUUCCAGCAGCAUACCCGUAAAUUUCGGAUACCCAAUUUUUUUUUUGAGUAGCUACCCAAUACCCAAAUAUGGGUAUUGAGCGCUAAAAUAUGAAUAGGUACCCAAAACACACCAGUGGCGGGAAUGCCAACUGCCUCGUUCCGGCCAUUUCCGAGCUGACCCCGACCGGACCGCGCCGCCGCUGACCACCGAUGUCCUCCCACCGCAGCCGACCCCUCCGCCACCUCCCUAGGUGCCCCCGUCGGCGUUCCCCUACGCCCGUUCGGCUCAGCCCCGCCGCAUCGGGUGCCGCCGCUGGUGACCGCCGCCGCCCCCACCUGCUGCCUUGCGCCGCUCGACCCCGCUCCGUUGUGACCUCCGCCACAGUCCCGGACCGUCGUGGUUGCGCCCUGCCCCUACUGCCGCGGCCCGGCCCCCCUCCUGCCCACGCCCUCCCCGCGGUCCAGCGCCACCAUGGGCGCGCCCAGGCGCCCGCCGCCGCCCUGCCCGCUCCGCACCCCUGCCGGUCUUCCUCCGCCGCCACUCCUCCUCUUCCCCUUCCCGACCACGGUGCCGCCCUAGGAGCCGCCGAGCUGCAGCCCCCGCGAGCGGAGCGCCCCCGUGCGGCACUGACGUUGCCUUCAUGGGCCCAUCUCCUGCUCUGGCGCCGAUUUGAAUCGAGGAGGGCCUCCGCUGCUAUGGACUUGGGAUACGACAGGGAGAAAGGAGAGGAGGAGACGAGUAGAUGAAAAAGAAGGAAAGAAGAAGAAAGCAUCAAAUGAGAAUAUUCUUUUUUGGGUAUCUAGUUUUGGAUAUGCUGAAAUAGUUGGACACAUUUUGGGUACCCAAAUUUUUCUCUCUAUCCUACCCAUAAUGGUUUUGGGUAUCCAAAAUAUGGGUAUGUUGUUGGAGAUGCUCUUAGAGCGCACAUCCUAGCUAGCUAGUCAAACACGAGUUUAGCGUCCUAUCGACUCAGGCUCACGGAGCCCACACCAAACAAACAAGGCUUGAAGACUAACUCAACGCAAAAGACCAAUAUGAUAGGUAAGAUUUGCCCCAUUUUAUAUGCCGUGCUCUCUUACAGUCAAUUGAUGAUGUAUACAAGUUAUUUUUCGACCAUGGUCCUCUGAUGCCGAGUACUUCUCGACGAUCGGUAUGAUCUUCUGUUACUACGAGAUCAUAUGCACAGCUCUGAUACCACUUGUUCGAGCGCACAGCGGUCGGCCCAGCUUGUCACAUGAUACACCACGCCCCAUGUUAGCCAACAAACAUGUUUGUUGGCAAAGAUGGGUUCUGUUGGCAUUGGGUCACGUUUUUUUAAAGGAGGUUGAAACCUGCGGCCUCUGCAUCAAAAAGAGGCACACGACCACAUUUUACUGAUUUAUUAACAAGCUUGACAAGAUGAAUACAUCGAUCAAACAUUCCAAACCCACCAAACUAUAUCUAGAAGCCUGAUGAAGGUGGUGGCCAUUAUCAGGACAGAGUGUCCUGGCCGCAUACCACCGCCCAACAUAGAAAUCCGCAGGUCGCACUGGACACAACUGGAUAGGCCAAUCCACUCUAGAAACAGCCGCCACCUUCUUCCACCAACCCAAAUUCAGGACAUGAAUCGAAGCAUUGCAUCAUGCCAGGCCUGGCAUCGGCAAGCAGGACCAAACCCCUCCAGCUUCAUUUGUUCCAAAACGAGACCCCCAAGAGGGGAAACGACAUCGAAAAUGUCACCAUCGUUUGAUCCGGGAGACCCAGAUCUAGGGUUUCCCAUGGAACAUCUGGACGGGAGGCGGGAGAAGCACAACGUCAACACAUUCAGCAAGGUAACGACGCUCGCGGGGGCCACCAUCGUCAGCUCCGAACGAAUCGGAGCCAUGCGUCCCAGAUUCGCUGGAGAUCAACAUGUCAUUGCCUCUCUUGCCUCGCUCAGGAGAGGCAGCCGCCUCCACGCCGACGAUCUGCCAUAACGCCGCCAGGACACGACCAUCAGGCCGUCGCUGUCUCUAGGGACGGCCAAGACGUGGCCAGGGCAGGCCCCCACUGCCACCACGCGCCGCGGCAAGUGUCGCCACCGCUAUGAUGCAACCAUGGCCGAACACCGCCGCCGUCACGUGCUGCGGCCAGACAGAUCAUAGCCGCUUAGGGCCGGACGGGCAUCUCGGCCUCAGUAGGAAGCCAAACACAGGCCCCCGCCAUCGCCAAGGAACGUGCCCAAGACGAGGCCGCCGCCGCCAGGGGAGGAUAGCCCGUGCUGCCGAUGCAGAUCUACCGCCAGGAGCAAGGCCCCGUCGCCGCCGACGCCGCGCGGGCUUUGCCCGGCGACGCGUGCCGGCGGCGGCGAGGGAGGAGGAGAGUGGCGGUGAACUAGGGUUGUGGGUGUUUAGGUCCGGCAUUGGGUCACGUAUGUCUCCGCAAGCUGGCCGUCCUCUAAAAUAAAUGAUGAUAGACGAUCUUAACGCCCUACCAGCCUAGGUCCAUGGAGCCUGCAACCAAUCAAAGCAUUAAGUCUAACUCAAACCAAAAGAUCAAUUUGAUAGGCGAGGUUUUCCCACUUUAUAUGUUGUGCUCUCUCAUAGUCAUAUUCCGAUGUAGGACUAAAACCGAACAGCCACGACGAUCUACACUAGCUGCAUGGCCACAAGACUCAGCUGCGUACCUCGCUUUACGUGGAUAGAAAGACAUCGGCAACUUAUCCAACACCCUUGAUGGUUUUGGAGAGGUCAAGAAUUGUUCACGAACAUGCAAAACAAAAAAAAUCUUAUUGUCGCGCCAAUAUCAAUCUUUCGAUCAUGUGGAACGUCCCAACGGUUUGGACCUUGUUCCCCUUGCGCUAUCUUGGGCUAUCCCUAUCCAUCCACCGCCUCAAGAAGGUGGGAUUUCUUCUUUCAGCACCUCAUCGACAAAGUAGCCGAAAAACUGGCUCCUUAGCAAGGGAAACAUGACACGGUGGAAGGCAGAAAUACCUUCGUGAAGUCAACCCUCACUUCACAACCGAUCUAACAUCUGAAAACUCCCCACUGAGUCAUCGCUACCAUUGACAAUACUGGGAGGCAGUACAUUGUACAAAAUUUCUUGGCGGCCUUAGAGCAUCUCUAGCAGAUCCCGUACAUCAAUGAUCUGCAAAAGUUUACGGGCUUCGUGCAAAAAAAAAGCACCAAAUCAGAUAUCGCAUAUCAGCCUGGCCCGGAAAAAGCUAUUCUAUAAACCGUAAAAGCCCAUCACGUCGACGUAUAUGUACAGCCCGGGUGAGGUUUUGCGGAUCCCAUUCCGCAUUUCUACCGGUGCGUAAAAAAACAUACCCCUGCUGCCGGCAAGAAAUCCCCCCCCCCCCCCACACACACACACACCACCACCACCACCACCAAAUUUGCUGCAAUGUAGCUCGUAAAUUCGUCCAUCAGGUCGGGGAGUCAUCAGAGGUAGGUCCGCAUGCCCCGCAUGGCAGGGGAACCCUGGGCGUACGGGGGACAAGGCGCUGCCGCAGAUGAGGAGGAGCGCCCGCGUCCUCUUGGAGGUGGCGCGGAAGCAUGGCACCUUGCAUUGGCUUUGCUAGGUGGGCCUCUGUGAUGGUCUUCAGGAGCACCUCGCCCUUCACCGUGAGCAAGAGGCCGAGCUCCUUCGCCGCGAGGAGACGGCCUCGCCAGGGAGCUCCGCUCCGUCUCCCUCAUUGGGCAGGUGGCGGAGAUCUCCCACUCCGGCUCCCUCCGUCACCCUCACGCCACCAUGUCCUGCUCUAGCGAGGUCGCCGUCAUGCACCAAGCCUUGGCCGCCUCCAUUCAGAUUAAGGAGGAAGAGGAUGCUCGCCGCGACGCCUACAACGUUGCACAGAUCGUGGAGGCCCUCCCGAUCGGAGGCGGUGAUGGCGGGGCGCUAGGCGGCAAAUGGGAGAUGCAGAAGCUGAUCUGCAUCUCCUCUGACGAUGAUGAGGCAUGAGUGGCGCCAGCGAGAAGAAGGCCGCACUAUCAAGAAGACGAGGAGCUCAUUUUGUUAUUUCGUUAAAUGCUCCUCAUAUUAAUAUUGGGUUAACGCUUAUACGAUGAACUGCAUGAUGAACAUGAAUUUGGCGAUGAUGCGUGUUCUUGUUGUUCUGUGCUAUUCGAGAAUGCGAUUCGACGCAUGAAGCUUGAUUUUAAAAACGUUUUUAGGCAAUCUACAAAACAUUUUCGUGGAUCACCGAUAUACGGGAUUUGCUAGAGAUGCUCUUAGUAUCGCUGUCCUCGACCACUUCACUAGAGCUUUGGAAAGCCAUUGUAAACACUAAACCUUUUAAUACAAGUAUGUUUCGUACAAAUAUUGUGUGUUGAAAAAAUGAAACUCUGUACUUAAGAAAGCCAUUGUAAACACUAAACCUUUUAAUAAAGUAUGUUUCAUACAGUAUUGUGUGUUGAAAAAACGAAACUCGGUACUUAAGAAAGCCAUUGUAAACACUAAACCUUUUUUUUGCAACAUAGGGCACCAAAUUUAUCUGUUUUUCUAAGAAUUUACCCACAUAUAUAUAAAGGGCACGACUUUUUUUUUGACCAAAAACAAUAGGAGAGGCUCCUACUGCUGUAUAUAUUAAAUAUAGAAAAAUAUUUACAUAUUUACAAAUGUACAAUCAGGGGCAUUCGCCUGUUAAUUAGAAAAGGUCUAUCAAACUAGUAAGAAUGGGAGAAAGGGAUUGAGGCACCCUACAGCCUAGUAAAGAUAAAUCUGAUUUGAACUUUGCUAACAAACCCUGAAAAUUGGCUCGCUCCCCCUCAAAAAUGAAUUUAUUUCUGAUCUUCCAGAUAUUCCAAGCAGCUAGAGAGAACACCUCAAAAAAGAUAGGGUUGUCGAAUCUUCUUUUGACCUCAGGAAGUGCUUCAAUGCAGGUUGAAUUUCUUGGCCAGGUUAUAUUAAUGUGCCUCCAACACCUUUGACUGAAUGGACACUCCAAGAAGAGGUGAUUCAAGGUUUCUUCUCUUCCAGUGUUGCAGAGCACACAAUUCAAACUUGAAUCAAUAUUAUAAUUUCUCCUAGAGAGCAUAUUUCUGGUAUUCAAUCUGUCACUAAGAAGAAGCCAGGCAAAAACCUUCACCUUCAGAGUAUUUUUAGAUUUCCAAAUCCACUUAGAAGGGGCAGGUGUGAUGAUUCUGGAGUAGCAAAGAUUAUAGAAUUUGCUUGAAGAGAAGUCAGUACCCCAGGUUGGGAGCCAAAGAUCAUUUCUAUGAAUAGAAAUAUCAGCAUCAAUUAUCAAUUCAUCCGAGGCAUGCAUUUGCUCAAGAGCUUCUGGAGAAAUUGGAGUUAAAAAACCAGCAGCAACUGAGCCAAGGUUGCAAUAUUUCUGAAUAGACAUAUCCUCAUCUCUAGCAUAGGAAAAAAGGCAGGCCAAUUUUGUGAAGAUUAUUUCCUCUUUGUACCAAGAAUCUUUCCAUAAUAGUACUGUGUCACCAUUUCCUGGUUUACAAGAUGAAAUGCCCCUAAAAAGAGGAAUUAAUUUCAGAAUAGCCUUCCACCAAAAUGAACCCACUGGAUUCAUGGCCUGAGGGACACCCUGUUGAUAAUAUGUCUCCCAUAAUAAAUUAACCCAGGGGAUAUCAUCCUUAUUAAAGAAUUUAAAAAGAUGUUUGAGCAAUAAACCCUGAUUCUGCACUCUAAGGUUGAGGAUUCCCAGUCCUCCAUGUUUCUUAGGUCACACCUUAUCCCAAGCAAUCAAAGCAUUAUUUGAAUCCCCAUUAGCCGUUUUCUUACUCCAUAAACAUCUUCUUUUAAUCUUGUCAAUUUGAUCCACAAUUUUGACAGGUAAUUGCAGAGAACACAUAGUGUAAGUAGCAAGAGAGGACAAGACAGAGUUUAUAAUUGUCAAUUUGCCACCAUAAGAGAGCAGAGUUGUAGUACUGGACAUUCUUCUUUCAAUUCUAUCCACCAGAGGCAAAAAAAUCAGUGACAGUUGGUUGUGUAGUACCUAAAGGUAAUCCAAGAUAGGUAAAAGGCAUUGAGGCAACUGCACAGCCAAAGAUAUCUGCAAGCUCAGAGGUUCUGGCAUCACUCAGAUUAAUAGGAAUCAAAUUGGAAUUAUGAAAGUUGAUCUUCAAUCCAGUGAAAGUAGCAUAAUGCUGUACGAUUUCCUUUAGAUGCAAAAGUUGCCCAUCAUCAGCAGGGAGCACCAGUAUAGUGUCAUCAGCAUAUUGAAUGAUAGGAAAUAAUCCUUCUCUAGGAAUUGAAAGCUGUAAAUUACCCAGUUGAUGCUCCUUAUUAAUUAUGGCCUGAAGUAAAUCAGCUGCAAGAACAAAAAGCAGAGGAGAGAGGGGAUCACCCUGUAUAACCCCCCUCACACAUUUGAAGGUUUUACCAGGAACCCAUUUAACAACACAGCAGACUGACUAGAGGACGGAAUAAUUUUAAUCCAACUAAGCCAAACCUAAUCAAAACCCAUGUGUUCUAGCAUUUGCAGGAUGACAUCAUGUUAAAGGGCUCGACUUGUAUGUGUGUACUUUUGUUCUGUUUUAUAUUUUUACAUUUUCCACCCGAGAGCAUAUCCAGGAUGCAGCCUUGAACAACCCAGUAGAUAGGUUCCCUUGUCAACUUAAACACGUUAAAAUUUAUUUUCUCCUAGUAUAUUGGUACUGUGGUUCUGUCAUAGUCUAUCAAGCAUGAUACAACGUCUCACCAUUUUCAUGACAGAAAAAUAUUAAUGUUCGUUUUAUUUCGAAACUAUAUAUAUUAACCUGAAUUUCUUUAGCUUGGUAACAAUACAAACAGUAUUGAAGCAGUGUUUAUGCAAUUAUGCUCACUUUCCCAUCCAAUUCUAAGUGCUUUUUGUUUGCGCACCCCUGUCCCUAUGUCCCACGGUUGCAGCCCGGCCACGCGUGCCAGACAUGCUAAGCAUCUUGGUAAAUAAACCAUAUAGCAUAUUACUAGCUAGUAAAUACCCCUAUGUGUCUAUGCUAUAUAUGUCUCGUUCGCAGGAGCAUGGUGCGUCAAAAUGGUCCCAAGUCUAGCUAAUAAACAUAACGCUGCCGUGAACGUGAUCCAGACCUAAAACUUUUGACCCUGGAUUAUAUAUAAGAGAAACUACUUUAGAACGAAAGAGCCUCUGCCCCCUAUCGAAUACUGUACUUACAAUGCACUAUAUUAGACAUCCUCACGUACUUACCUAUAGUAUUAUAAGCAUGCCUCUUCACCAAUCAAGGAUAGCAUCAGACAUUCAGACUAGCAACUAGAAGUUAGUUGUGAAUGGUUCAUCAGACAUGAUAUAUAGUGUAUUCAUCUGAAUUAGCAAAACGUUUUCCUAAUGUUAGGAGCUUAAUUACAAGUGUUACAACACGCAUGGUUGGUACUCCAUACAAGACACAACUAAAGAACGAAGAAACAGGUGUACCAGAAAAAACAAUGGGAAAACAGCAAGAUCCUUGACACGACACGAUCGAUCGAGUCAUUGACAGAACAACUUGAAGAAAGAAAAAUGGGCGCGUGAUUCAUUCAGAGGCUAUUAUAUCCAUGCCUUCAUUCACUGUGACACAAUUGACAGCGACAUUAAAGUUUCUAUAGCUAACUCGUGCAAACUGCAGGAAUCUCCUUGAUUUGACCAUGCAUCCAUGUUAGGCGCAUAUACCUGCAGCUAAUUACAUGCAGGAGAGUGACUAGCUCGGGAAAUCUUCAGCAUGCACGCACACAUGCGCGCGGCCGGGCGCAGAUGCCCGGGAAUUGCACGCGCGAGAUUGCAGUAUCUUUCUUCAGGAAAGUAGGUGCAUGGAUCAGCUAGCUGUCUAGCUGUUUGAUUUGACCAUCAACUCUCCUUGAGUCCUGUAUAUGAUCUUGAUCUUAGUUUAGUACUCCUCUGAAUUCUAAAUUCUUGACUCAAAUUGCCCAAAUAUAGAUGUAUCUAUCCUUAAAAAACGUUUAGAUACAUGUAAUAUUUUGACAACAAUUUAAGAUCGGAGGAAGUAACUAUGGAGUAACCCAUGGCCGGUGGCCGUGGUGGAAGGUACAGAACAGAAAGCCGUGGUGUGCAGCCAUGACCAACAAGUCAAGAACCGAACCGGAGAGCUAGUCGUUCUGGGAAUUUGGUGGGACUUGUACUACUCCGUAGUUUGCUUUCUGCAGCUACUUCCUUGGCCGGGCUUGAUGGAGCAAUUCCCACAUGUUGGAUAUAUGAAUCAUAGCAGCUGUAAAGCUACAUGCAUGCACGUCCAGGAAGAGCAGCAGAAUACCGCCCACUUGUAGUUGUAGGAAUAUGUUAGACCAAUAAACCAGUGUGUGCCAUCGAUCAAAAGAGAGAAACACAACACAAUAUUGAGAAAGAACAGACGACAGGAGACCGAGGACGUUAGGUCUGCCUGUGGUGGUGGUGCGUACACACGCACGUAGACGUAUUUCCGAAUGCGAUUCAUGCCGCGGGAAAGGCGUGCCGCUCGUAUGCCGAAUCGAUCGGUCGAUGGCUCGAUGCAGCAGGAAUAAAGAGGGACGGGAGAUCUUUGACCGAUGGCAUUGGCAUGAGCUAGCUAGUUACGUUAGUGUCAGAGUCAGAGAUGCUCUGACCUUUCGCGUGUUUUUGCUCCUGUCGCAUUCGACGUACGUAGCAAGUGAGGCUAGCCAUCGAUCAGGUUUCCUUUGGGCAACGAAGGGAUUCUCUAGCUGUGUCAAAAAAUGUCGAUGUCAAAUUAGGCCAAUAGGAAUGACAACAGAUACCAAUUUUUGCCACCCGUGUAGAGCAAGUAAACCGGCAUGCUACUCUACGUACAACUUGUGUAAGCACAUAUAGGGCCAGUUUUUUUGGGAGAAACUGCCCUCCUUCUAGUUUUCACUAGAAGCCACCAUCAAAAUUUAGUUCUUUCAAAUUAGAUUAGCCUAAACCAGUUUGAAGCCCAACCAAAUUUGGAGAGCAGUUUCUCUAGGCAGUGUUGGGUGAAGGUAACUUCUGAAAGAAGUCAGUUCUAGAAGCCGAAAAAAAUGCAGUCAUAACAGUACUAUAACAAGAUAAAGAAGACAAAAGGUAUAAAAAAAAGGACAGAGAACCACCGGAGAACCUAUAAAUGACGAUGCUCAUGCACCAUUGUCGGCAUAUACAUCGCUAGUACACAUCAAGAUUCCGCAACGAAAAAAAUACUCCUUCUGUUUCAUAAUUAUUGUCUCAAAUUGUCCAAAAAUGGAUGUAUGUAUUCUAUAAAACGUUUAGAUACAUGUAAUAUUUCGACAAAAAUUAUGAAACGGAGUGAGUACACAUCAAGCCCAAUUUUUUUGACAAAACAAGCCCAAAAAUCUUGUAUCUGUCUUCUAGACGAGUGACAUUGACAAUCGUAACCCCAGCCAAUUCACCGACCCAACCAAUACAAAUUGUGGUGGUCAAUUGGCCAUUGCCCGUCGCCGAAACAAACAUUUUCAGGUGAUGAGAGGGGAGCUUGUUUGUCUUGUGUGGUGCAGCACUUCCCUACAAUGGUGGGUAGGACAAGACGAAAGGCUUACAAAACAUGAAAUGGGUAAAAGGAUCUUCGAAAAAAAAUUGAAAUGGGUAAAAGGAAGCAGGCCAGCCCGCUGAUAAAGCUACGAUGUCUCUUAUGUCUCUUUCCGCUUGGAGGCCCAAGAAGUGUCAGCCCAAAUUAUGGACUCCGCCAAAGUUGAAUACUAUAUGUACCAUUUGAAAUCAAACAAUUCAAACUAAAUUUAGUCAAAACACACAAUUUUUCAGAUAAAUCAUGUAAUUUUUUUAGGUAUUUUACGUUGAAAACAACUUUUAAACCCGUCAUUUGCAUUUAGAUAAGCAAACUCAACACUUAAUCAAAAUUUGCAGCAAACAAGAGAUUUCAGACAUUCGGCUUCCAUCCAGCUACAACGAACAGCAGUCAGAAGCUUCUUCCGGCUUCAACCGGUUUGUGUUCAGCUCCGGCCUAUGUCAAACCAGUUUGUGUUCAGCUCCGCCCUAUGUCUCUGUUCCGCUAGGAGGGUCAAGAAGUGUCAGCCCAUAAGGAUGGGCCUUUUUUUUUAACACAGGCUGGGCCAUUCGAACCCCAGAAAGAAAGAAGAACGAACA